UCUCCUGUGCCCGAGAGCCUCUCGGAGCCGCCUGGGUGGGGGGAGCAGGGGCGGAGUAGGUCACUAAAUCGUUAUCCCAAGUGCCCGGACGAACUCCAGCGAUCAAGGGCCAGCGAAGACACCAGCUUCAUCCCCGCUUCAGACUCCCCCAGGCUUCCUGUUGCUUGCUUUCUACUAGUCUGCCUUCAAGUGUGGAAUUUCCUUCUUUGGUAUUACCUAGAAGAAAGAAAUUAUAUUGCUCCGAACACCAGCAGACUGUUACAGCACCAUUAAGUGCAAAGAGACCCCCAGGUCAUUUUAAGAGACUUCCAGGUGGUGGAAGGAAGAGGUGUGAUCUCUCUCAGACAGACAUCACCCUGUUCAUUCAAAACCAGCUUCGCGACACACUCUGCAAGGUGUUAUUCAAGUUGCUAUGAAAACCCUGUAUUCAGUCUCACACCUGUGAGUGGAUUAUCAGGAAUUAAGAAUCUAAAAAGAAGAGAGAAAUCCCAGAAAACCUCCAUUCUGACUUUGAAAAAUAAUGAAUUAGCAGAGCAACCUGGGAUCACUUUGCAGAAACAAAGAAGGAAAGCAUAUCACUUUGCCACCUUUUUCAGAAAAUGGCUUUUGCUGAAGUAAUACAACUGUACAAGGAACUUUUGAACAUGCAUCACAGUGGCUAAAAGGCGUUCAGCAAAACAAUACACUUCAAACUACAAAAGUAAUUGAUUACAAUGGCUUAAAACCCCUACUAAUAACAAGUUCAGCUUUGUUUUAGUUAUUGUUUCCCUGCAGCAUUGAGAAAUCUGGCUGAGUUUGAACAAGCAAAUCAGGAAACCCUCUUUUGGGAAUAAAAUGCAUGAGGUAAUAGUAUUCAAUUUCCUAAAGCUUUCCUUUAAUUUAACAUUUUGAAAAUGACAUUUAGUGCUAAAACUGCAUAUGUAGGAUUGUGUUAAAAGGCUGAUGAUUAAAAUUUUAAAAAUUAAUAAAUAAAGGCAUAGAUAAGGUGAAGAUAGAACUAAUGUACCUAGACACAUUUGAAUGGAAAUUAGUUUAAUGUAGGCAUAUUCCAUUUAAACCCAAUAACAUUUGUUUUGAUGGUGGGAUUAAGUAAAGAGUAUAUCAAUGUUGAGAUUAUGAAGCAGUGGUUGCCUUGGAGAAAAUGAACAUAUGUGAACAGGUAAGGACAUUGCCAGUCAUGUUUAGAUGGAUUAAAUAUGUUAUCUGGUAUACUCAAACUAUUAAUGCAGCAUAGGACAAGAUGGCUAAAAAGAAUUCCUAAUUCUUUUGACCUUAGUAGAUUUAAACAUGGAUAGAUAUUGUAUUUCUCUGUCAGCUGCGUGCCUCUUGUGUACUUUGGCUGUGUCCUGCAGAGCUACAUCUGCAAAAUGACUUCAGUAGUUUUCAAAUGUGUGCUCAGCCAUUGCACCUUUUAGAUGUUUUUGUUUUUACCAGGAAAACUGUCUCACUGACAGUCUUAAUGUGUUAAAGUGUAAAUGACGUGUUAAUCUUUGUCUAGUACAUGCAUAAACCCGUUUGUGUAAAAUCUUCCAGUCAGUCCAAUAUGCUGUGAAGUGAGCAGUGGGCACAGGCACUGAUUUGGGCUUUGUACAUAAUACCAUGGCGACACAUCUCUCACCAGAUUAUGUUGUUGUGCAACUCCUACUUUUCAAAAUAAUUUCAUGGCAAAAUAUUUGCCUAGUCUGUUUUUCUUUUCCUUUUCCUAUUGGGCAGAGGGUAAGGCUAAAAUCCAUAUUAUUCUCUUUUGAGAGGCAUCAUUUACCCACCUAAAUUUAAGCUGCUUUAGGGCUUAACUGCUUGUAGUGUUCUGGUGGUACAGAGUUACAGUGAAAUUUCAUUAGGCCAGAUGCAAAGCAAAAUAUAAAGCAGGGACACAGCAAAUACCUUAAUUUUAUUAUUUAUUCCUUACUGCCUUUGAACAUAUUUAAAAAUGUGUGCAGUGAAUGAGGUGAAUAAUCUUGUAUUGAGCUCAGCACACUGUUUAUUGGGAUACAUAGUUUCCCUCCUGUGCUUUAUAAUGCACAACUGUUGAUGAAAUUAACAGGUCUAUAUAAAUGAAACAUACACAUACCUACUGAGAUACAGACAUCUUUUUUACAGAUCUAGACCUUCAUUCUUAUGUGACUGAAUUUAAUUUAUUGGAAUGGUAAUUGUCAAUACCUUAACAUUAUACUAUUAAAUAAAAGGUUUUAAUUUUGUGAAGUGCGUUGUCAGUAAAGAGAGAAAUAUUGCUCUUAUUUGAAUAAUUUCAUGGCCUGUAACAUUACUGAAUAGCAGCAUACUGUUUGAGAUGUUAAAGAUCAGUUCUUAGUCUUUUCAAAUGACAAGUAAAAAAAAUCCUGAAAACUGAGGCCUUAAAAAUCCAAAAUAAGAAUACAAAGACGAACACAGGGAAAUAGUCUACUAAAACUCUGUGAGCCAUGAAAGACCAGAAUGAGUUGGUGAUGACCUGAGUAUUUUUGUGAGGGGAAUCAGAGUGGAUCAUUCCAUCUUUCUAGCUCCCUGUAUCACAUGAUAUUUCAAGUCACUACUCUCUAUGAGUAGUGUAUAAGUAGUGACGUUUAGUGCUUCAGUGUUAAAAAAGCUCAAAUCUUUUAUGGAACCAUGUUUAUGUUGACAAGUUUCAAAGAAAAAAUAAUUAGAACAGGACUGUUCUUAUUUCAUUAGUAAUGAUAAGAUUUCUUUUGGCAAAAUAAAUGUGAUUAAUUCUGAGUUUGUUCUGUUACUGUUUAUUUGGGCUUUUGUAUUCUAUUAUUUGUGUUAUGGCAUAAUGUAGUUUCUUUUAUGUAUAAUAUUUCUUUAUAUGUUUCAAUUUCCUAGCAUUUUUUUUCCUAGAACUUUCAUACCAUGAAUAAUUGUGAAAUUUACUGACUGUGAAUUCCUUUACAGUGAUAUAAGUAAUUGUGAAAAGUAAGAAUUUUCCAUAAAAUUGAUUUCAAAUUCUCUGCCGUUCUAGUCAGGGUUUUUAAAGACUUAUUAGGAAAAUGUGUUUUGAUGGAUUGUCUGCCUGGAGAAUAAAGCUAGUAUUACUAAACUUCAUUCCCAUGAGUGAAACCUUCCAUUCAAUUCCCCUAUAUUUUUUUUAAUGUCAUCCCAUUAUUGCCUUUUCUUUUGCUUUAAAUCACGAAGGUGCCACAAGAUAUUGAAUUGUGUACAGUACAAACAUUUAUUAGAUAUAUGAAAAUACGAUAAAAACAUCGUACUCCCAGUUUUGGAAGGAAACUUUGUGCUGGUUUGUGAAUAGCAGCCUAGGUGUAAAGAACUACGUAACCCAUUUCUAAGCAGCUGAGACAGCAAAAUCUAUAAGGGAAUUUACAGUGUUGCAGCAGAAGUCUUCAACAGAGUUUAAUUAAAGCGUUCUGGUGAUCUGAAGAUAUUAAUAAUCCAGUACUGAAAUUAAAGAAGUCCACAUCAACAGAACUUUUUCUCAAGCUCAUGAUGCCAGUUGGCAUUGUUAUGCAUAUAUAUAUAUAUAUAUGUAUCACAUAUAAAAAUCUACAGUUAAUGACCAAAAUACCAAAUGCUUAUUCAACCACCUCCAAGUAAGCGAUGCAAUGCCAAGAUAUCAGGCACCUAGUCCCAGCUGGUUGUUUCAGAUCACUUAAGUGAGGCAUUCUGUACAUAAGCUUUCUAUAUAGUUCAUGAAGAUAAAGAAGUGGGUGAUCUAAGGGGGAAACUUUUCUGCUGAGCUGCUUAGAGUUUGUGAGUGAAAACGCUAAGCAUCACCUAAGUCUGAGCCCUGUGCUUUGGGUGUCUGUUCAUUUGGCUCCAGCAUUCCUUCUCAGCAUCAGUCUAACUAGAAAGGAAUAUUUGGCUAUUUAAAAUAUAGAUGUAAAUGCAGGUGGAAUCAUUACAACAUGCACAAUGUGGUUAAAUUGUGGAGCCCAUUCCCAUAGGAUGUUGUGGUAAUUUUACAUGGAUUCAAAAAUGAUAAACCAAAUUUAGGUUAAUUAGACACCAAAUUACCAUCAUUGAAGGUGAAAUGGCGAAAUGUGGAAGAACUACUAACUAUGUAUGCAUGUAUGUAUGUAUGUAUCUAUCUAUCUAUCUAUCUAUCUAUGUUCUGUUCUGGCUACUGUCAAACACAGAAUUUUAGAAUAUGUGGAUCUUUGUUCAGAACAAGUACAGUCAUGUUUUCAGUAUUAUGACAGUACUAUAACGUCUACUAAGUUAACUAGAUCUAUUUAAUACAUUUUUCAGAACAUUUUUCAAGAGGAAAUGGGAUAUUUCUGAACAAUGUUUGAAUUUUUAACCUAAUUUAGGUAGAUUCAGUUCUUUCCUCUCUAUAUCAAUAUGCAUUCAAUAAUCAAAAUAUAUUUGUGUGUGUACAUAUAUACAUAGCCUGCAUACCUUUCCAUACCCAGGAAGUAGUCCAGUUCUCCAUGUCACUAAUUUCUAUUUGAAAGAUAAAUUAGCCCAUUACGAACUCCCCAAACUGGAACAACUUGGCAAAAGGGCAACAGUAUUUACAGAGUGAGUUUGUUUUUCUUCCUGGUUUAGGUGAUAUUAGGUGGGGCUGGUAGAGUUCAGUGCCAAGAAAAGCAUAUAUAUGUAUCUCAAAGUGCAUUUUAAUGAACUUAUUUGAUUCUAUACCUUAAAAAAAUAUUAUUGUUUAAAUAAGAAGAAAUUUCUAUAUGUUAUAUUUUCAACACUUUUAGAGUAAUAGUUUUUCUUCUCUCUCCACGUUUAUAUUGACAAGUUUCAAAGAAAAAAUAAUUAGAACAGGACUGUUCUUAUUUCAUUAGUAAUGAUAAGAUUUCUUUUGGAUUUUGUGAAAUUUUGGUCAAGUCUAUGAAUUUGGAAUUUGUGAAAUUUUGGUCAAGUCUAUGAAUCCAGUUUCUGUGUGAUCCUAAAUUAAUGUCAGUCAAGCUGGGGGUAUUUAACAGCUCUUAUGUUUCUAAGGACAGAGAAUCUUGUAUGAUCAUGAUUGCACACACUAAAGACAACUCAACCACAAAGUUUAUAAUAUGGUUUAAAACAACAGGCAAUCAAUAUUUUAUAGAGGAUGAAGGAAGACAAUAGUAACAUAUUAUUUUCACAAAUUAUAGAGUUACAAGACAUUAAAAAUAUUUUACAAAUAUCUUCUGCCUCCAUAAUGCCUGUUGACCUACUUGAAUUGUGUAAACAAACAAGUAUUCUUCAUAAAGAAAGAGGAGAAUCACACAAAGCCUCUUAUUAUAAUUGGAUAGACUAUUCCUGAAUAUAUUUAUUUAUUUUAUUUUGGAGUUUUUGCUUUCACAAGUGAACAUGGUUAUUUCUUUUUAUUUCAUUCAUGUCUAUCUCCUUUGCGGUAGAAAGAUGUUCUCUUGAAAUCAGUUAUGUAGAGGCUUCCCAGGGAUAAGGUACAAAAGUCAGCUCUGUAUAUGUUGAAUCAGAGGUGACUGGUAAAUGCAAAUUGUACUUCUAGGCUGGAGCUUUCAGGCUUCUUUUUGGCAUUUUUUGAGGUCAUUUUUUUGCAGUGUUAGGCCUGUGGAUGGAGCAUUUGUUUGCUCAAAGUUUUCAGAGUACCUUCUACACAUGAAAAGUGAGGGUGGAUCUUGGCACCACUGUAGGUUCUUUUUCUGUGUCUGUGUUGUUUUUUUUUUUUUUUUCAGUUUCUGGGCUCUAGCUCAAAGUUACUAACCACAUCUGGCAUCCAGAGCAUGGAAAGUUCAAGGAAGGACGUCUCAACAGCUAGCAAAGAUGUCAAAAAAUUUGGAAGGAACAGCAGUACGGACUGUUCACAGGCAGCAUUCCUCAGAGUAAUACUUCAGAAGGAGAAACAGAAAGAAGUCCUCUGCUUCUGGGAGCUUGCUAAGUGGAACAGCUAAUCUGGAGGUUUUGCAACUUGAAUCCCAAGAAUCAGUGAAUAUGAAUGAGCCUAAGACAAACUCUGACCUUGAGGCACAGCCCAUCACUUUGAGAAUGCUAAUGAUGUGGAAGAAGAGGAGCAUCCCUAAUCAGUCUAGAAUCAGGUAAAGACUCUGCUCUGCUGACAGCAUUCUACUGAGGAAAAAGAAAUCCAGCUAUUCAUGACUUUUUCUAAGAUAUCUUCACUUUUGUAGGGAAUAGAGAUAUAGAAGCAAACACUUGGCUUAAAAAAGGCUAAGAUAAGACCUUCUAAAAAUGGUAUAGUUAUAUAAAAGAAAAAAAAAAAAAGUUUUUCUGGAAGAAAAUAACAGUUAAAACCUUUUAAUUACCAAAUUUUCCUAAAUUAAGAUUUAACUGAAAUCUUAGUAAUUGUUUUGUAACUUAGAGUUGAAUAGCACUUUCCAAACUUUAAAUUGCAUCUUUAUCCUAGGAGGUGAUUUACAAUCCAGUGAAGCAAUUCAGCAAACACUAGGUUGGACAUUAAAGAAGCAAAAUAAAUUUAGAUUCUUACUGCAUCAAUAAAAUUUUUAGAGUGACAGAAAGUAAUAAUGCUUGAUUUGUCCAGCAGGGAACAGUCUACUUUCAAAAAAUCCGUUUUCACAAAGAAGUGGUAGAUAUUUUUACUUUCAAAAAAUAUUGUGGCUUCUUGGUCCAUAUAGCUCAAUAAUCACGAGGACUAGCCUGUUUUUCUAGAAAUGCAUGCCUCACAUUUGACUUGUUUUAGUCUUUAAAAAUGACAGCAACUUCUCCUAUGGCAGCCAUAUUUAUGUCUCUCCUAUGUGGAUUUGUUCAUGUUUAAUAAUGUGUGAACAGACUCUGCAUCUUUUCUCAAAGCUCAAAAAACUGCAUGGUCUGGAUUUUCUGCCUGGCCAUCUAUUUUCAUGGAAACCACCCCCACUCUUCCAUGAGAUUUGUUUAAAAUCUGCCAAACUGUUCAAGAGGUAUUAGGAGAAACCAGUCAGAAAAAAAAAUACACCAACAAUACAAUAAGUUCUGUUUCCAUGGAACAUCGCAUUAAAAAUUAGAAGAAACGCAUUGAAACUGUUGUCUGUUGUACUGCUUUCUUCUGACAACUCAUUAAUUAUGUUGAUAGACGUUUUAAUAGUCUUUUGUUAUUAUUUUGAAAAUGUAAAAUUAAGAUCAAUCGCAAAAGAGAAGUUACCUGUAAUCUUUUGAAAUGGAAAACUGUAGAAAUUUAAGCAUUUUCGACCAUUCUUUAUCACCUGACUAAAUGGGAGUCACAGUGGGACAGCAGAAGAAAGGGAGCAUAGGAAAGACAGUAGGUGAAAAUGUAUUAAAAUUGCUCAGUCUUCACUCAGUGAGCAUCUGCUGAGCAGUAAAUUUAAAAACAGUGUACACUUCUUGUGGGGCUUUGGAGUUUUUAGUGCACAUAGGCACAGAUUUUAAUUUACUGAGGGGAAGGAAGACCACUUCCCUAAGACAAGAAGCCACCAGUUCUGCUGCUGAGAUGGUAACUCAUGUAAUCCAAGUGGUAUACUGUGACUUCGGUCUGAUGCUCGACCCUCCACAAAGAUAAAUGGAGCAAAGAUGGGAUGUUGACAGCAUGUAAGUAAUGUUUCACUUUUCUCUGCUAGCAUCAUCCAACGUAAACCUGGGAGCGGUCUCUAGUUGUGUAACCUUCUACACUCUUUACUUCAGGGUUAUAAAUGUCCUUGAAGUCAUAAAUACUUUUUAAAAGUUCGCUUUAUUGUUGUGCUUUAAAAAACGUUAUAUGUGGGGGUGUGUGUUUGUUUUUUAAUGCAGAUACCCCAAUGCACUUCCAGUUAACUGUAGCACAUUCAGCAGUUAUCAGCUGAAAUAAGCGAGACUCGAACUCACAGAAUCACAGAAUCACAGAAUCGACUGGGUUGGAAAAGACCUCAGAGAUCAUCGAGUCCAACCCUUGGUCCAACUCUAGUCCGUUUACUAGAUCAUGGCACUAAGUGCCAUGUCCAAUCUCAGUUUAAAAACCUCCAGGGACGGCGAGUCCACCACCUCCCUGGGCAGGCCAUUCCAAUGCCUGACCACUCUCUCUGUAAAGAAUUCCUUUCUAAUAUCCAGCCUCAUAUUAGCCUGAGUUUUCCCUCAUAUGUACCCUUACACUUUGUGUAAGGUACAUAUGAGAAGUGAGAAGCUUCAUAGGGGAACUAAAUUACAUAACUUCAGCUGAAAAGCAUCAAGUCUGAAUUUUGGCAUGCAGACGUUCCUCUGGGACAUGUUCACUGUGCAGGCUGAAGAUUAUCUUCAGUUAAAUCGGUAAAUGGCAGCCUCUGUUUUAAAAUUCAUCCCAAGUAUCCUGAUUCACAAGGUAAUUUAUUGCUAGGAGUCGUGCUGAGAGGUGUUUACUGGGAGAUGCAAAUGCAAAACUAAUACAGAACAAGUAUGCUAAUAGGGGAAAUGUUAGAGACAAACUUUUAUGAGCUUCCUGUUCUUCCCUGGAAGAACAAGCUGUAACUCCAGCACCUGCCUUGUGCUCUGUGUAUCAUCUUGGCAAACUCUCCAUCUGUUAAGCCCUGAAGCAGAGAAAAAGCUGUUUCCAGGCCUGCAACAAAGUUUAGAGGACUGCUUAGCAGUUUCCUAUUUCAAACAGAUUUUUUAAAGGCAGGUUGAUGCAGAAUGUCCUGUUCAGAUACAUGCACAAGGCAUGGCAAACACUUCUUAGUAUUUUAGUAUUCUUAGUGUUUUAGUAUCAGUAAUUUUUCAGUUUAGAGUAGGUUAGACAGAUCAGUAGUGAUAUUUAGAUCAAAAACCCCAGCAGCCUAAGUAGUCACCAGCAAGUGAAUUACUUGCUGCUAGGACGUCCCUGAGACUGUGGAAAGUAGGUCCCACAUCGUCAGUACACACCAGCCACUGGAUGUUGCGGGAAGAAUGAGGAGCGGGCCUAACACUGAUAUUGCUUAAAAUAAAGUAUUUGUUUUCAAGGUGUGAGAUACUUUUCACAAUUAUCCUGUUGCUUCCACAUGCCUCUGGAGUCUAUCGAUCCUUGUCCCACCAAGGGGCUCUGAAUGUUUUCUGGCCAGGAGAGACCUUUGUCCCUUAACAGCCCCUGCAGCAGUGGGGCCAUGGGGAGAGGUGGCCUCAGGGCUCCAUGGGGAGGCCGUGCCAGGGCCUUGGGAGCCGCUUUGUGCCUGUGCCUGCCACAGGGCCUGGCUGGAGCGGUUGUCACUGCUGGAGCGGGCCCAUCUGUGGGUCUGGGACGCGGGUCUGACCCAUGGGCAGCCUCCCUGCCACCAGGCUCUGCGGUUACAGGGAGAAUGAGCUGUGGAAAUCGGGGAACGGGAAGGUUGAGGUGGAAGGAGCAGACUAUAUGAAAACCAAGGCCAGUGGAUGCUGGGAAGGAAAAGCAGCAGGCUGUCACAGAUCAGAGGCAAGAACAAAAAAGCUCUGCUGUAAGCUUUCACGUAUUCUAUAAAGACACACGUUUAAUCCACAUAGCUCCUGAAGUGCACUGGAUUCUGGUGGGUAACCUCAAAGUUAUAGAUGGGCAAAUACGAUAAUUGUGAGUAUGUGAUCUACCUGCAGCCAAGAGCCUGGAUGUCAGGAACCUGGAAAAAUACCUGUUGUGAAAACCUCAUCCCUCCCUGGGAUGUUUUAGGCACUUUCAAACUUAGCGUACAUUCUAAGGCAUUUUCUAUAACUUCAAGAUUUCUUGUGAUCCCUUAUUAGACCAUGUGUUGUUUGACUUUGCUACUACUAUUCUGGUACCAAAUGUUCAUAGAGAAUUCUAUUUAGCUGGCAUACCCAGCUAAUUUGCUGGGAACACACCCAUUCACUGAUAAAAUCGCUCAUAUUUGCAUCCCCCCCACUCCAAAGUAACAACAAAUAUUGUCAAGGUAAAGAAAUUUCUUUUUUUUGCAGCCACACCCAGCAUACUAUAACCAUGACUCAGUCUUGUGUUCAUCCUAUGCAGGAAACCUAUUGGCCUAAUUUUGCAAGGGUAAGAACAUAUGACCAUUUUUUUUUUUUCCAGCUGACAGUGUAACAGCCAUAAAUAUAUCCUUCCAAAGAAAAACUAUAUGAAAAAUAGUCUGGAUAAUCUUCUGCUGUUCCCUUCAACAUGUCUGAUUGUGGCUGAAGAUGUGGAACCAAACUUGAUUCUUAUUUGCAGUUGUUUAAAUCUGGAAUACAUCCAUUGACUUCAAUAAAGAGAUUCCAGAUUUACACCUGAGGCAGAAUUUGGCUGAAGUCCUUAUGGUUAAAAAAAAGUCACAGAGUUAUAACAUUUAAAAUUGAUGCAGUACAAUAAAAUCUGAAGCAAAACUUUUGUUCUUAUAUUAAGCUAUUGUAAAACAUCCAUUACACAUGCCGAAAGUGCUAUGAGGAUAUUAAGGGAAUGGAGGUAUUAGUGCUCCUUUUAUCUCCAGAUCUCAAAUAGCUUUGGUGACUGGUUUGUUAAGUAAUCAUAACAGAACAGGUUACAACCAUUUUUGCUUCAUGAACAAACCCAAGGGACCUUCGUAAUAUACUGUUAGUAUACAAACUGAUUACUCUUCUAAAGAAAAUAUCAGAUCUUGCAAACAUUUAGACAUGCUUAAGGUUAAGUAGGAAAGCAGUUUCUAUUCAGUUCAAUGGAACUAACUCUUGCAUAAUGUUUACUUGUAAACUGAAGUCCUUUCAGAACAUAUUACUUCUCAUCUAAUAUCAUUAUUUGCAGUCAUAGUGUCUGAAUUAAUAACAUUUUCAAACUUCUAUGCUGGUCUGUAACUAAUACAGCCUUAUUCAUAAAAGUGAUGAUGAUGGUGAUGAAGAAAAUACAGGAGCAUGGUCUAAAUAUCUACAGAAUAUACAAAAAGACAUAAACUAGUAUGAAGUUAAAACAGGAAGAUAAACUUGCAGGGAAAUAUUUUGGUAUGUGAUAUGAGGACAGAAAAGACAUGGAAGGGAGAGACAAAAGCUCUGAACAAUAAGAGAAUUGACUAGGUUAACUGAUAUAAGGUAAUUAUUUUUAGUGUUCUCAGUCAUUCAUUGUUAGACUGGAUUUUCCUGCGUACUGCUGUAUAUGUCCAUAUUCUACACCAUAAACAGAGUUAGAUGUAACACGUGUGGUGAUGAACUUGCCAUUUAGUUUAUGUACUCUUAACACAUCAGAAGUAAUUUACUGCAAUGAUUGCAAUCCUCCCAAGAAAGGUGACAUAGACACCACUGAGGAAGAGACGUAUCGAUUCCUGUUAAUACAAGUUAUAGAACUGACACCAAGUACAAAACCGAUCAACACACUUCAUGCUUCAAUCUAAAACUAUAGAUAAUCCGAUCCAUAAAGGUCAUAAUAUAUGAUAAAACUUUUAUUCUUUUUGUGUUUUUAGGAAAAAAAAACAUAGUACUCUUUUGGCAUAAAUGAGCUAUCCUAACUUCAGUGUUAUUUACAGAAGCCUGAAAAUGCCUGAACACUGGUCUUAUUCUUGUAAGAAGGAGGCAUUAUGCUUUGCUUGAGUCCCUUUGCAGACAUGUGAGGCCAAUAAAAGGAGACAAUGUCUGAAGUCCUUUUUAGAUCAGAUAAAGUGAGUAGGUGUUACAUUAGUGAUUAUGCUUGGUGAUUUGGGCUCUAGUGUAAAUAUGUAGAAUUCUGCGUUCUAGUCUCUGCUUCAAAGCUAUGUUAUAAAUUUUGUCUGAAGACUAUCUAAUGUAGAACAUUCACUCCUUAGGGAAAUGCCUCUGUCCCUGGUGCCAGAAUUUUCCCUGCGUGCCCUCAGUGGCACAAAUUCCACAACAGGUGUGGAAAGUUGCCUGACUUGAAAAAGACAUAGGAGGAUGGGUGAUGGGAUUUUGAAUCAUGUCAGGCUGAAAAGAACAUGAGGGAGCAAAAGCAGGAAAGAAGGGUGUACACACUGAUAGCUAUGGUUUUAAAUAAAGUGGAAACAGAUGUUGGAUUUUAUGAAAACUGGAGGUUUUUGUAUAUGGCAGUUUUGUUCUAAGCAUAAUUACCGAUUUUUAGAAUUAACCUUUUCUGAUCUUUCUAGUUUUCAUUUGCCAGCCAUUUUCAAACAGGUACAGGGUGGAAGUGAUCCUUUCGAGGGGAAGAAAGCAUGGAAAAAUUAAUAUUCAGAAAUGUUUUUAAAUUGGGAUAAACUCAAUCACUUUUCUUUUGUCAGUAGUACUUUCAUAAAGAUUUCUGUUAUUUCUAGUGUCAUAUAUCUUAGGACUCUUCCAAACCACACAUGCAUAUAAAACAUGCUGCCAACAGCUAAAAUACUUUCACAUGAAAUAUCUAAAUUACAAAAAAAUUAUACUAAAUAAGAGAUAACAGUUUCAUCUUUUUCUGUUUAUCAUCUUGUACCAUGCUCCAUAUUAGCUUUACUGAACCCAUUUGUUGGAGCCUCACUAAAGCUAAUGUGGAGUUUGACACUGAUACUUCAAAGUAUAGACCUUCAGUUCACUUCAGUGGUUAAAAAUGUAUUUACGUCUCAGGUUAUGAUUUAUUAAAUGUGCGUCACUGAAGGAGAAUUAUAGAUGCAUAAAUAGUACACCCUCAUUCCUUAUGAAUAGUAUGUGGAAAUGGAAAUGAAAUUAAACACUAUGCUAGACAAUAAAAUAACAGGGACAUUUAUUAUUUUAAAUGGUUAACAUCUUCAUUAGGUACAAGUGUUUAAAUAAAUAUAUAGGUAAACUAUUCUUCUAACGUGUUUUUUGUUUAGAUAAUAGAUAUGUUUAGUUUUUAUUAUAUUUAUUUAAUAUUUAUAUCUCCUGUUAGACUCCUUAAGGACAAAUAUUCUAAAAGCUCUGAUAAUUCUGUAAAACAAAUAUACAAAGUCUCUUAGUUUAAAAUAGAACAGUUUUGUUUAGGCUAAGACAGCUGUAACAACAUGAAAAAAUGAUAACACAGUAUAAAUAUUAGCACUUCACUUUGUAUCUUUAGCUUACCGACAGAAAAUCAUAUGAAUUUUGUAUUUCAGGAAAACAAGAAAAUCAUACCUCUUUUAGCAUCUGUAUAGAAUAUAUCUUAAUGAAAAAUCCAGCUAGUGUUACAAUUUUAUCAUCUGAGAUGGCAAAAUUGAACUUAUUUUACAGAAGUGGACUCAGCUAAAAUAAACUAUUGUGUUAGGCACAGAAAUCACAAAUAUUCUUUCAGUACCAGAAAGAAAAGUGUUCUAUUGGCAUGGAAAAUUUCCAGAUCUCAGUAAGACCAAGGAAGCAGCUUGUUUCCUGAAAUGUGAAACAGUGCUUAUGCCUCUUCCCUUCUCCCCUUUUCCUAUAAAAGAAAAACAUAAAAGGAAUAAAUUAAAACUAUCGUAUUUCUCCCUAUUAUGAGGCCAACUACAAUCAGCUCUUUGAAAUUCAUAUUGUAUCAAAUAAAAACCUUGUUUUCACAAAAUAAAACCAAAACUAUUGCAAACUAAAAUACACACAAGCAGUGCCAAACAGAGCAAGGAGACCUUUAUAGGACCAUAAUGCUUAUCUUAUUUACACCACUGUGCUUUCAUUGUCAGCAGUAAUUCUAAAGGGAAAGAACAACAAAUUUAUCAGUUUUCUGAUGCUAAGUGGCAGUCAAGCAUAGGAACAGCUUUUAAUUGCAAUGCCACUUUAGACUAGCCUUGGAUCAGUUUUGCUGUGGAUUGCUGUAGAUUAAUACACCUGCUCCCACUGGAGCUGUCAUGGCUUGCCUGUCUACUAAGUUUUGUAAUUGUCACGGAGGCACCCCGACGUUAGUUUAAGGGACAACAGGGUCCAAAACAACUUUUAUUAAACCGGUGAGAAACAGGGUUUUAGCACUCCAAAAGUGACUUAAAUAAAGGUUUGGAUAUCAGUUGAGGAAAAUUACUAAGGGGCAGCAGCUAAUACAACAGGCGGUCCACACAGUGCAUGCACAUGGCUUCACCCAAAACAAUGCCGGGGCCGUCCCCCAGUCCCGGAGAAGUACACACUUGCCUAAACACGGUGCGGAAUUAUUUUUUAAAGAGAUACACGUACUCGUAGUGAGUACAGGAAGUGUACACUCGCGAUUCCGCGAGGGUAAAUUUAUAAUACACUCGCAAUCCUGCGAGGGUUAAUUUACUUACACGUGCAAAUGUGCACGGAAUAUUAUACGUGCUUAUGUGGAAGCACGGGAGGAAAAUACACUCGCGAUUCUGCGAGGAAAUAAUUUAUACACGUGCUCGUUUUGAGCACGGAAAGUUACACGUGCAAAUGUGCAUGGAAGGAAAAUGCACCCGCAAUUCUGCGAGGAUUAAUUUAUACGCGUGCAAAUGUGCACGGAAAGUUACACGUGCAUAUGUGCAUGGAAGGAAAAUACACCCGCGAUUCUGCGAGGAUUAAUUUUACACGUGCUUGUAUUGAGCACGGAAAGUUACACGUGCAUAUGUGCACGGAAAGUAUAAAUAUACUCGGAGUCCUGCGAGAAGUUUUACUCACACCUGUGGUGGCAAGGCAAGCGGAGUCUCCAUCCCGGGGAGGAAGGCUCUCAGUGGCAGCAUCUUGCUUGUGCUCCGAGAGACCUACACAAUGGGCGGAGUCUCGACGAGAGUCCCGUUUUUAUACUGGCUGAUCAGAUCUGACUGUAGGCAUUCUAGAAGCUUCUCUGCACCCCCACACCGGCUGUGGGUGCCCCUGAGGCCUCCAAACAUCCCCCACACUGGCCGCAGGCGCCCAGCGGCUCCCUGGUGCCUCGGCACUCCCUACUGUUGCUAAUGGCCCUGGCCAGGGUGCUCUGUGGCCAAACAAAAGAAGCUGUUAGCCUCAAGUAGCAGAGAGAGAGGGAGAUGUGCCUACUCCUUCCAUACUGAGGGAGGGAGGGGGAGAGAGGGGGGUUUGCAUUCUGCCACAGUAAUUCAGCUUCAUGGGCCACAGGAUGUGAUCCAUUGGCUUCCAUCCUUUCUGACUGCCCUUCCAAGCUGUUGCACCACCAGACAUGCAGUGAGAGUAACAUUCCAGGCAGAGCUCUUCUAAUGAGAUUUUGGUUGACAAUGGCUUGUACAGAUAUGCCAGUCUUGCAGACUCUUAGCCGUUUUGUGCAUCAUGUAUAAGACCUCUCUCAAAUGGAAGUUUUCUGAUGAUUAUACAUGACUAAUUUUAAAAGAUAGUAUCACAAUACACUACCUCUGCCAUUUCCCAUUAAAAAUAUCUCAGACAAACAAUGUCCUCAUCAUUAGGCAUACUUCUGACAACCUGCUGAUUAUACCUGUGUAAGUUUGAGAUUGUUAACACUUAACUCAUCUGAGUUCAGGCUUUAUCACCAGCUCAGCCUAGCUGUGAAUACCUGCCUAAGAUUGUCAUGCAGUUCUCUAUAUUGUGGGGUAUAAAACAUUUGGCGUCUUCUUUUGGCAAAGUAUCCUCUUUAUACCUUUGAAUAUUCUACUCUCAUGUAAAUUUACUGAGACUUUGUGAAUCUGAAUCAUAACAGUGUGUGUCACACAGAAAAAAGUAAUUUUGGUAAUCUGACCAGUUUUUUUGGGAAUUAUAAUUAUCUACACAUGGAUGGAUAUAUUUAAUUCCCUACCACUUAAAAAAUGUAUCCAUUCAAAAUUGAGUUUCAGGUCUUGUCUUUUAAACAUGUUUUUUCAACAACGAUAUAAUAUAUUCACUUGUUCAACAGAAGAUGGACUUACUGAAAUGUGGAGCAUCUUCCAAAGUUUUUCUGCUAAAACUAAUCACGAGAGUUGUUUAUGUUGGGAAAAAAUACUGCUUUAUACAGUUGUUGAUUAGAAAUUUCAUUAUAACAGAACGUAUUUUUUAUUAUUUGUCCUCUAUUUCUGAUACUGCAAUAAACUUAUUUGCUUGUUGAGUUAUACCUACCUAAUCAAUACAUCAUCUGCCUGGUAGAAGAUCUUGUACUUUGGAAGCCUUACUACAACUAUGGAAAUGGUGAAGCAUAUAGCGAUCUGCUACCUACAGUCUGUGUUGUAGUAAAAUAGUAUUUCCACAGGCCCGGGCAGUUUGGGCUUCUCUGGUAAUCUGCUCUAUGACCUGGCCUCAGUUUUCUAUAAGGUUUGCAUUGCAGGAUUUUUAUGUGUGCAUCCUUGUACAUAUUCACCUAAUUUGUACUCAGUGCAAGAGUUAAGUUCGUAACAUAGAUCAGUGUUUUUAUCAUCCUGUACAGUAAUCCAUCAGAUGCAGUUCAUGACGAAGCACUUCUCUAUUACACCUGUCGCAUUUUCUGCUAUUGAAGCUUUGUGUGUUAUAGUUUCUACUGGCAAACGUGGCAGCCAGGUUUUCCUUCUUGGUUUCUGUAAAAUUUCAUUCUGUUUCAGUGAGAGCUCACUUUACUUGUUGUAAAGGAGAUCCUAAGCUAUCUUCAUGUGUCCAACUGCAUGAUGACCGAGACAGGGAUAUUAGUCUAGAAACAGAUAGAAUACAGGAAAAGUGAUGUAAUGAUUGGAAAGUCAGACAACAGGGGAGUUAAAGCUAUUAAUUUAUGUCCAUAUACUGAACAGCAGGCACUGCAGUCACACAUAAGAGAGCACGGUAUCUGGUUGCUGCAGAGCUCCAUCCUGUUUCUCUGACCACUACCAAGUUAUUCUGUUGUCUCAUCAGAGCUGUCUUCCCUUGGGUGCCCUCUAUGGUUAGUCUAAUUAUCUGCAGGAUCUUUUGUAGACUUUCCUGUACUAUAAAAUUUUAAUUUUCAGUGCUCCUGAAGUCUUCAUCUUUGCUGUCAUCUGUCUAGAUUCCUUUUGUAUUUACCAUCUUUCAGCCUUCACUUGAAUUAAAUUAAUAUUUUCUACUUGGAUCUUUGCCUUCCCUUUCUUCUGUUUCUGAUAAUGUUCCUCCCUGAUUGACACUGUAAUUAUCGUGUCCCCAGCUAUUAUGUGGAUGUCUUUAAUAGCUCCAUACAUUUCACUGUUGCUUUGUUGAAACAAUUUCCUUAUUGCCCUUAUUCCAAAAGCUAGAUGUUAUCUAUCUUGUAGCUGCCUCAGGUGUUCCAUAGUCUAGAUGAUUCCUCAUUUAAACAGACGUGCCAAUAUCAGUCCUUUUUUGUCUAAAGGAGAAAAUAUGUUUCCAUCAAAUAGUCUAUGCUGAACUUCUGUUCAUGAACAAGUGGAAUAAUGCUUAGAACAAACCUGUAAAAAUGUCUGGGAUUAAGAUAAAUUAUAGGUGUUUUUUAGCUUUUACUAAAAUUAUAAACCUUUGUGGAUAUGUCCAUUUUGGCCUUGACCAUUGCUUGUGAAAUGCUUGGGUACAAUUUUGAGUCUGUCUCCUGCAAAGAGACUAUUUUUCUGGCCAAGCUUGAUAAUAGUGGCUGACUGAUGUAAGUACUCUACUGGCAUAUUUACAGGCCUGCAAGGGCUUCUUGAGUCAUACAAUCAGAUUUUGUGUGUUCUGGCUGCCUUAAGACUUGUAUUAAGGUAUUGUGGUUUCUCACUCUAACAUAAGAGACAUAAAAGCUGAAGAUUUGCCCUUAAAUGGUGUUCAAGGGACUUUGCUUGGAACUGCCUUCUGUUAUAAGUUUAACACCAAAGCAGGUGAGACCCUAGCACCUGACUCAAAGUUGAACCAAGAAAAAUUUCAGUUCAGGCUCCGUAUCAGUCUUGAUUAUUAAAAUGUGGAAAACUGAGAUUUGCUGCUCAUACUGAACUACUUUUCCUGCUCAGCAUUACUCUAUUCUGGGUGCAGGUUUAAUCAGAUUCAAGCAACAGCCUGUGGCAGUUGCACUUCCCCCCUCUGAGAACUGUGGUGGCAGUUGUACAUCCCUCUCUCCUUCAAUGGGGCAGUUAAUGGCUCUUUCAUGGGACCCGGAGUCGGUUUGACAGGGUCGUUAGCAGAGAAGGAGGGGCCCAGAGAAGCCGAGAAGCUUCUGGAAUGCCCACAGUCAGAUCUGAUCAGACUAUAAAACGGGGUACCCACCGAAGAUUCCCUUUGUGUGGUCUCCUUGGAGCAGGGUCUGUGUCGCAGCCCUCCCCUUAGGUGGGAACGCCGUUUAGGGAAACUUCCUGGGAUUGGGAGCGCCUCACCUCCUUGUUUGGGUGAGUGAUAAUUUAAGUCCCUGCUGAACCAGGCGAGUGUUUGGGUACCCAAGGCAGGGGGCUCUGGUUUUGUUUCUUGUGAGUGCGUGCAUUCACGCUGUGGAUCCUCAUUAUUCUUAUUUUGCUGCACCCUAAUAAUCUCCUCAACUGAUGUCCGAACCUUUAUUUUAUGUUAUCAGAAUGCUAACUAAUUGUAUAAACCCUGUUUUGGUCUGUUCGUUGGCUGUACUUUUCCGGCCAAAAUAAAGUCUGUUUUGGAACUUGUUGUCCGCAUAAAACUGAAUUUGGGGUCCCUCCGUGACAGAGUCUUUUUCAAAGUUUCCUCUUCCUGUCUCCUACUUCACCCUGACUGCAUCUUUUUGAUAUUUCCAAAUUUCCUGCCUGCCUCUUACUUCUACUGUAUUACAAAUUUGUGUUACUGCUUUUUCCUAUCUGUAAAAAUUGAUAGUCUAUAAUUACUCUGAAGACUUUGUCAAAGUCAAAGGAUAUUCAUAACCAUUUCACAUAAUGGUAGGCUGUUACAAGCUUGGAGAAUCUUUGCUUCUAUGGGAAUUAAAACAAAGCUUUUAAAUCCUGUACUAGUGUUUUAUUUUUUCCUGGAGCCUUGAGCUGUAGGAGGAGUCCAAUCACCUGGUCCAAUCACCUCCACUUCUCUGCAAAAUUACCAAGAAGAAAUUAGGCUGGGAAUGGCUUACAGGUGUAUUUUCCUAAUAUAUAUUGCUUUGAAGUUUAUUUAGUGUUACUUCUUCAUUUUAUUUUGUCACAUAUCUAUAGUCUCAGACUAAAGAACCUCUUCUUUUUUUAACCCAACUGGUGUCACUUCUGACACAACGUUUUCCAGCUCUUGGCUCUCUGUGCUACAUGAAUUCAGAGUGAGAGUAAAGGAUGUUGAAAACUUCUUUUGCCAAAUACCAGAUACUCUACCUCUGGUCUUCCAGACUAAGUAUCUAUUUCAUAUAAGAACUGAUUCACACUUAUUCCUCUAACAGAAUUUAGUUAUCAGAAAUAGAAGUCAUUGUAAUGCAGCAUCAUUGCAAUAUAAUGCACUUAUGUUAGCUUAGGGGUUUUAGGGUGCAUUUAUAGCUCUAUAUUUAUUAUAGAGGGGAAAGAACCAGAUCCUCUUUUCAUAUUAGAGCACAGGACAUUCUUGAAAAAGAUGCAGCAUAUAUGUGACUUCACUCAUUUAAAUAGUCUCAUGCUGUUGAAUAGAUGACUGAGGUGAGCAAAAAAACCAUUUACGAAUCUAUGGGAUCAGAAUCUUAGCAUGUGUUAAAUGAAUUGAGGCUAGAAACCCGGAUAAAUACCUUUGGGAAGAUUCAGUAUAUCUUCACUAAAGUGAUGUCCUGCAUUGCAAACCUCCUGAAGAUCUUCAAAGCAAUCAGCAAACAUGAAGCUAAAGAUGAUCUGGCUCACAGUUUACCUGUAUUUGUACAAAGGGUUUUGAGGUAACUAAGUAGUCAUGCAAUAAUAGGGAAGGUCCCACUGAUAAAUGACUGGUUAAAAGUUUAAAAAAAAGAGUAUAUAUAUUUUUCUCACAAGAGAGAGGUUACCACUUCAGCUGUGCCCAUCCACAUAUUUAUACAUUAUUUAAACCCCAGUAUUAUUACUGGGUAAGACAGUUUUCAAAUGAUAUUAUUUACUAGAAUAUUUGAAGGCAGCUAAAGGAAUUUAGAAGUCUAAGUGACGCUGUAAUGAAGGGGCAGUUGACAUUCAUUGUAAAUAUAUACAACAUGAUGCACAUGAGGAAAACCAAUCCAAACUUCACAUGUGAACUGGCGGUCUGCAACUUUGCCAUUACCACUCCCAAGUGAACUGGUGCUAUCAUAACUACUUCUGUCAAAACAUGGGCUUAAUGUUUAGCAGUGGACAGAAAGGAAUGUUAAGAAUUAUUACAAACGGAAGGAAGAACAAAUGCUAAAUAAACAUUUAUACCACUUUGUAAACACACACUUCAUCUUCUCCUAGAAUACUGUAUUUUUUUUUCCCAUCUCACUACAGCAGAAUAUAGGUCUACAGAAGGAAUUCUAAAGAAUUAAAGAACAACAAAGAUGAUAAAAGAUAUAGCUUCAGCAUGAGUAAUGAUUAAACUGAAUGAUUUUCAACUGAAAGAGAGAUGACUGGAUAGGCAUAUGGUAAAACUCUACAGGAUCAAAACUAUCUGGAGAUAGUUGUGGAGAGGCUGGAGGGACAUUUCACUGUCACAGGUUAAGAAGUAGGCACCAAUCGUAUAAAUCUAGUUUAAAACAGAAGGAGGUGGUUGAUAAUGCAGUGGGCUUUUGGAUUCUUUGAACUUUUUGCCAAAGGAUGUUUUAUAUUCAAAAAAUUAACAUGGGCUCAAGCAGACAAGUGUAAAGAAAGUUGGAAAUGUGAUGCCAGUACUUGGGAGAGAUUAUUAAACAGAUAAACUACAUCAGGUUCAAGAAAUUCCAUAAGCUGAAAACAGUUGAGGUCGGGAAAUUAUUAGAGCAAAUACAGUCUAUGCUUGCCCUGUACUUGCUUUUCCCUGGCUACUUCCUUUGUCUUCUAGAACCAGGAUACUAGGCUACAAAUAUUACUCUGAACCCACAGUCUCCUAGUUUUCUGUACUUCAGUUCUGGUUUAUUAUUUAUUUAUAUUGCCUACUCAUUACUUCUUUAUAUUUGUUCUUCUAAAUAAAAUUAGUUUUGUCAUCAGUACCUUUCAGUAGUCACUUUACUGAAACUGAUUCAUUUACACUGGCAUUCUUAACAAAUUUGUCUAAAUGUGGUUCUCUGUUACAGACAAGCAGUCUGCCAAACUCUCCGAUUAGCAUGUUUCAAAGAAGAAAAGUGUCAAAAGGAAGUUAGUCAUGUGAUUAAUGACAAGUAUGAGUGAAAAACAUGUACUUAUAUACUGGAAAUUACUGGAUGAACUUUGCUGUUAAUUAAACUUGUAUGCAAAAAGUCCAUUUAAUGAUUGCAUAUGAAUUUUUAUGUGCAAUUUUUUCGAGGUUUAUACUGACUUUGCUUGUCUGUUCAGGUGCCAUGGUAAAGGUGUGGCACUGUAGGAUAAAAUAUGGAGUUGCUUUAAACUUCAUAUUCAGAAUGUACCUAGAGACAUAAUUUGAGAAAAAAAAAUUGUCUGAAAAAGAGAAAAAAAAUAAGUUAACUUGGUUCUGUGUUGGAUUGUUUUAAAGGGAAAAAGGAAGUCUUAGUAUUUACUAACCAGUAAUAAUUUCAGACUAGUACCAGAGCAGGCAUCAGACUUCAUACUCUUACCAAGUCCGUGCAACCACCACUCCAAAAACCGUAAUUAUAAAAACCUUAGACUGGCUUUCAUUAUUAAGUAAGUAUUUACCUUAGGGCAAUUACUACAAGCAAAAUGCAUGCAGUGACAAGGAAGUUCAGUUUUUCUACCAGGUAAACAAACAUUAAAAAAAAGAAAAAAAAGAAGGAAGACAUCUGAAGGCAUACUGCUGACCAAAUCUGUUUUGCUUAAAGACAAAACUGAAGAAUCUUGCCUCUACUAAGCUUUUACUUCAGCAUAGGGCUGUAACUCUGGAUGUAAAAAUAAAACAAAGCAAAACGAACAGUUUAAACCAAUCCUUCUCAAAUUACCAUUUUCUAAAGUAAUAAAGCAGAAAUUAUCUUCACUGAAAACCGAACCGAACUAAACAGAUUCUAGGAAUAUCACAAGUAUAUGUUUCAUUUGGAAAAAUCAGGAAAAUCACUAGAACCCUGGCUUAGAAUUUUAAAAUAAUGUAAACCUACAGGUUGCUUGCCAGGGAAAAAUAAAUAUUUUAUUUGAAAAACCCUAGAGUAUUCAGUCUAAUUAGCAAACUUUGCCAAGAAUGAUCCUUGAAAAAGGAUCAAUAUCUAUCCCCACACAUAGUCCACUUCCCAGGGGUCAUUACGAGUUAUUUGUAUCCUAAUAGUUCGAGAAACUUCCUUCUUUUGUAACCCUAAAGUGAUAAAGAUCGCCAGACUAUUCUCAAUGCAAUCAUUAGCUGACUUCUUUGUUUUCAAAUGAGUCCUAAUUUAGACCUCAGGUAAACAGAUGAGCCAUCUCAUACGUCUUGUUUUCCUCCCAAAAUCAAUGUGUUCAUUACUCAAUGUGGCUAGUGUGUGACAACUAAGAUUACCAGUAAGAGGUAAAGUCCAAAUGAAGAUAAGUAAAUUCAUAAUUUCAACACGAAUUUGGAGAUCUAGCUGGACCCUUACUGCAGCACAAUCUGCUAUGGCAAAUUACUAAAGUGUGAAAACUCCAAAUCGCCUGUCUUCAUUAAGGAUUUAUUAGGCAUUUGUUACCACAGGUGAAGACACAUCCUCUUUGAAAAUGGCUUUCAUGUUUGGAAAAGGUUUCACUAGCUGCAGGCAGGCAAGUAAGCAGGCAGACCGGCACACGGAGCUUACAGUCAUUUGGACUAUUUGCCCGCCUCGAAUUAAGCAGCUGCUAAAUGCUUUGUAGCUUACAGGCUACAUUUUGGAAUUUGAGUCCCUUCUCUUUUCCACAUGAGUUUGGUAGAGCCUGCUGUAGAACCUUUAUGAAGAAGGUGUUAUGCAAACCUAUGAAGUUUUUGCUUAGGGAGCUGCACAAAGUAAGGUUUUGUUUAAUUUAGAUAGGUAAUGUUUCUCUUUUUAGCAAGAGGCUGCUUAUUUUUGUUUGUGUUAGUGAUUUUAUUUUCUUUGUGUGUUUGCUUGACAGUAUGUUUAUGUUGUGGUAGAUUGUUUGUGGAAUCUGAAGAAGAAAUAAUAAUGAUGCUACAGGUUAGAUAAACAACAUAGCUAAGUUUGCUAAGAAAACUUAUAGGAACCAGUAUCAAAACAAAACCUGUGGGGUUUUUAUUUGUUUUCAAGAAAGUUAGCUGAAAACAAGUUUAGAAAAUGGCAGGGUUCCGAAUGCUGUAGCUAGAACAUGUCAUAAUUAAUCUUAGAAUUUUUUUCUGAUAUAUCACAGAUAAUGAUUCAUUUUGCGAUAAUUGUUUAAUAUAAUGCAUGAGUUCUCUCUCCUUCUGUUACGGAAGACUGAAAACAGCAGUGUAGGGAAACAUUGCCUCACUAUGCCAGUUAUGAGUGUGAGAAGGCAGGGGAUACAGGAAUGCACCGAGGAUGUAGAAAGGUCUUCUUUUGCAGUUAGCACAGACAAUCUUGACAGAAAUUGUCAAUCCAGUUGCCCCUUUUCUGUGUCAAUCAUGUAGUGGUAACUUGCCCAUAGCACCAUGUAUGUUUCUGGUCUCCUAAUAAUACACAGUGAAAUUCUUCUUGCUAAAUAUUUGCUGUCUUCUACAGGCUUAUAAGAAUAAUAAAACUUUCAAGUAGCUAAUAUAUAUGGUACUGUUUAUGUACAUGUAUGUACACACACAUAUAUAAACUUACAUAGUUUUAUGUAAACAAUACAAUUCAAAACAUUUAGGAGAUAUUUAGCCAUUUGUUUUUUCACCUUGACUUAUGAGUAUCAAUAAUGCAACAAAAUAAUACAUAACAUAAAUUGAUAAAAAUAAUAGCUCAGGAAUGAAUCUAUUAAAUGAAAUUGACAGCAACUAUUAAUUAAUAUUAAUUAUAAAAUAAUAUCUUAUAGUCUUAGGAUUAUAUAAACUGAUUUCUUUUAUUUCCUCGUCUUUUCUUGCAGACUGUGUCAUUUGAAUCAUUCAUUCUGUAGCAGCAUAGCAGCUGGUCAGUCUGUUAUCAGUUAUCUAAUUAUGCUUAAUAUUUCAUUUUAAUUAUCACUAUAAUCUUUAGCAUGACAAGCUGUAUUUCCCAAAUAGAGAGAUCCUUCCUGGUUUUGAUGUAGGUGUUUUGAAGAGUCUAACAUCUUCAGAUCAAUAAUUGUAGUGAAAACAGGGCACAGUUUACAUUGUAUCUUCAAGGUUAAAUUCUACAUAUGCUUAAAUUCAUUCCGUUUACUUCACUACUAGAACAUCUUGGAGCAAUAUUUUUACUCCUUAUCACACUGGAAGGACAGAGGGGGCUCUUAACUCUGAGCCAAGAAGAAUGACAACAAAUGUAGAAUACAUGGAGUGCUUCAGGACAUUAUUAUUAUUUCUUUUUAAUCAAAAACCAGUGGUCACAAAUAGACAUCUAUACAAAACUGGCAAUAGAGAGAUUUUUGAUAGCCAUGGAGGUAUUAUACAAACUGAAAAGGAUGUUUAUAUGUGUAUUCAAUUUAUGAAAGUUCUUCACUUGAGCAGAAAGAGAAGUGUUCUAAGACAGGACUAUGAAGUCAAGGUCAUUUAAUUCUGUUGAUAUUAAGACUUCUUGGACUAAGACAAGCUGCUUGACCUCCUCUGACUUGUUGUGUAGGCUACAACAAAUUGUUAGUAAGAUCUCUAUCUUAUCUCAGGUUCUUUGUCAGUAAAAUCUGGGUAACAACAACAGCCACUGUGCUUCACGUUAGCUCUUGGAAGAUGCUUGUACAGGAAGGUGGGGUGCACAGAAUCCAACUCGGUGCUCGCACUGGUGUUCCAGUUAGACAAACAAGUGAGGUGAUUGCUCAAAAUAUACUCUGGCUUUACACAGAACAGAAUCAAGCCAUAAAAUGUGGUCAGUAAUGUUUUUGUCAUUGUGCAUUUCAUUUAGCAACUGCCAAUUCUUUUGUUUGCAUCGAAAUAGCAGUUAAUAACAGUGUGGAAUAAAUCAUGCUUUAAAUAUGUUUUCUUAUCUAAGUGAUCUACCUACUGGGCAUAGUGAAAAGCAAAUGAGAAACUUACAAGUGAAAGCUCCAACAGUAAUUGUCAAAGAGACAGAGUUAUGCUGUGGUAACUGUACACAUGGUGGCACAGGCCUUUUGCAGGAAAGUGAUGAGUAAAUCCAGGGUUAGAGUUAUGUAAAUUGAUCUGAUACUGUAUCCUGCCCAAAUAUUUUUAUUGUGCCUCACACCCAGUUUAAGCAGUAUUGUUUGACUACAGAAUGUAAUAUAUAUCUACCUAAAUAUAAAGUCAAGCAAGUUUUUUUUGUGUGUGUUUUUUUUUCUUUGUUUGUUUGUUUGCUUGGUUGGUGUUUAGUUGUUUGUUUGUGGUUUUUUUUAAUUAUGAAAGAGUCGGGGAAAAAAGGCAACAAAGAAAAAUAAUCUCACAAAAAGGUGAAGUGUUCAGUAGGGAUGUUCUUUGAAAGAAAAUUAAACUGCAUAAAACAUAAAGGAGGUAACUUUUAAAAUUGUUUAUGUGUCCUCAUUUAGAACCAGAACAUUUUGUUACUAAUCUUACUUUGGAUGCUGUAUUUUUUAUCAAACUGAUUUGGUGUAGAUCACUUCUUGUAGAAAAAUAAGGAUAUUUACCUUUCGUUUUGCAUUUUCCUUUCUGUUUAAAACAAAGCUUUAAGUUAAUUAGAUUGAAUUUCUCUUGGAUUUUAUUGAAAUUACAAUACUAUAUGUUAUUUCAUUAAUUGAAAAUGAAAGGGUUUAUUUAAAAUAUUGAGUUUUUCUACGAUUUUUGGUUACAUUUUUUUCUUUUGGUAAAAAGUCAUCCAAACCCAUUGUUUUCUUUGGUCAAAUUGUCCAAUAAAUAGGGCUUUUCUAUGUAGGCUAUGUUUCACAGAAUCACAGAAUGACAGGGAUUGGAAGGGACCUCGAAAGAUCAGCUAGUCCAAAUCCCUCGCUGGAGCAGGAACACCUAGAUAAUGUUACACAGGGAGGCAUCUAGGCAGGUUUUGAAUGUCUCCAGAGAAGGAGACAUUCAUAUAGACAUUCCAGGUUGUAAAAUGCAGCGUAAUUAUGUGCUAAGGGUCAUAUAUCAUGUCAGGGGUAAAGGCGAAGUUAUAAAUUAAAGUUCUGUACAGAGAGACUUCGAAAGUCUAGAUCAUGUGUUACCUAGUAAUAUCAUUUAGUUUUUGUAAUGGCUAAAUAUUAAUAUCAACUGAUGAGACUGAAUCACCAUGGAAUUUCUGGAAAGAGAGAGAACUGAAUUAAAUAUGAACUUGCAUGUAGGGCGAAGCCUCAUCCUUGUUGUUUGCCCAGCAGUUUAUAGACUUGAAUGAGUAUGGGGCCUGAUGCAGCUGUGAGUCAGCUUGUUUGUUUGCUAGUUCUGUAUAUUUCUCAGUUUGUUUUUUAGUUAGAGAUAUAGAAGAAAUUCCUGCUUUUAAUGAUACAUUUGGAAUUUCGGAACAGACUUAUGAUGCUUGUCUGGCUGGUUUGUGGUUCUAUAAAUGAACUGAAGAAAAAAUGUGUAUGACAUUGAAAUAUUCAUUAUGCUUUAGAGCCAACGUCUAAGACAUGAUGUGACUUCCACAGCUUUUUCAGUAGCAGUAACACUGCUGGAUCAAAGCCAGGGCAGUGGAGGAAGCCGUGUAUGGUUUGGAAGUUUUACAGCUGAUAAGAUUAGAAACUGGAGUUUGUCCAGUAAAUUCAGACAACAGUGACCCUAGUGUCACAGUGAAUGGACAUUUUUCUCUUGGGUUAUGUUCUUAUAUGCUCUUUCUCAAUAUACAGAGAUAAGCCAUAUGUAUUUGAGAAGUUAACACUGGAUUAAGGAACCAACCACAAAGAAAGUAUGAGCUGCUAUGAGUAGCAAGUGCUUUUUCAUUGUAAUAUUUUACUUAGUUCUGCCUUACAAAACAAGAGCUAUCCUCAUGGCCAGGCAAUUUUUUAGGAAUGCAAAGUCACAGUAGUUAAAAAAAGACUUUGUGUACUAUAUUUGGAAAUGAAAAAUGGCUGUCUUUUUUUAAAUGGUGAAAAGCUCAAAUACACUAUCAAUUUUGAAUUUCAACACAUGGUACCGCACUGAUAUUAUUUUUAUUUAGAUAGAAUGUUACUAGUGAUGGGCACUGUAGAUAAUAGCAGUGAUACGUGGCGGUAUGAGGUUUCCAUAUGCUUGCUACCAGAGCAUGUCAGCAGGAUCUCUGAAGAAUUCAUAUUUUAAUUAUUAGCACCAUCUCAAGAAGGUGCUAUUUGUCUUUGAAGCAGUUGUGCCCAGGCAAUGUAGAAUUAUUACAGGUACACAGAAUUAUGACAAUUGUGCGAAGCGUCUGAUUGUAAUUUAAGGCAGUUUGGUAUUCUUACUCUUACAUGUGACAAGUGACCUGAGAUACUUUAAAGAAUGUAUGUUAUUGUAAUUUAGAUUUUCUGUGUGUAUGAACGCUGAGCAACAAAAUAAAACAAACCCCCAUGUUGUACCAAAAUAAUCCAUACCUAAAAUAUUCCUGGUCUCAUAGUCAGUCAUAACUACUGAAUUCCAAUCAAAAGCAUUUUUCACAUAAUACAUAGUUAAACUAUGAAAAUCCAUUCUACAGGUACUGUAGAUACCAAGUUUUUUAUCUCCUCCAAGGGAAACCUGAACAAGUUCACAGGAUAAAUCUCCAUUGGGGAUUUCUAAAUAUGCAGUAAUCACCUACAGCUUGUGGAUAAUUGCAAAUGAUUGCUUAUCAGGAAUAUUCACAGAAAGUAUGUUAUAUGCUUUUUCUGAUACACUUUUUCGAAGCAUGUACCAUUGGCUCUUGUCACAGGCAGACUAUUGGACUACAUGGAGCUUUGACCUAAGGUAGCAUGGCUGAGUUAUGUUUAAAUACUUCUUCUCAGCCUUUAGAAAUUUCUAGAUGUUUGUAAAUUAUUAUUAUCUGAAGCAAACCCAAAUAUCAUUUCAGCUCCAUUCCAGAGCAAUUUUUGUGAAACCGUCAAGUAGAAGAGGAGUAGAUCAGAUUUCACAUAAUUUUCUAUGAGUUUUUGUCACUGUGUGUUAAUGUGCGAGUUCUACCUUGCGGAUAGAUUCUUCCUACUAUCUGGAUUGUUACACAAAUGAAAUUUUUGCUGAAGAUUGACUCCCUAUGUAAAAAAUAAUUAUUAUGUAAAGUACAGUAGUGCAUAACAGUUCUCUUAUGCUUGUUGUUAGAAAUAUAUUUAUUAUUAUUAUUUUGAAAAAUAAUUUUUAGAAUCUCAGUAGGCUUCACUCUAGCCAGAAAGGUGAAGUGCAAAAAGAUGUUGUCAAAAGCUUCAGCCUCUAAGUCUAACUUAGAAAAAGGUUUAUUUUCUUCUUUAGAGGCAGACUAUGUAUCUAUAUUAUGUAGUCUUCUUUCCAUGAAUAUUUAUGUUUUUUUGGUAGAGGAUUUGUAGUUAAUUAUGACAUGUUAUCAUGUUCAUAUGAAACUACUGAAUUCAUGUAAAGCAGAAUUUGAAGGGUAAUGAGAUUAUUCUUUAUAGUUAUCGUUGAGACUGUAAAACCUGAAGUAAUCUUGUUUCAUGUAGUCCCCAAGCAAAGAUGUCUUUAGUACGAACAGGAUCUCAUACAUGUCAGUCUUGUAAAACAUGAAAAUCCUAUUAAGCUUUCAUAUUCUUGAACAGCUAAACUGAUUACUUUCUUUGUCUAAUAGCAUCAAAUAUAUAUCUAUAAUAGUAAUGAUAAGUGGGGAAUGGCAAGAGCAUAGCAUAAUAAAUCUUGGAGCUAAUGAUGUUUUGAACCAAGGAGCAUAUAUUUUAUUUUUGGAACCUGGCAGACACAAUUAGUUACACAGAUCAGUAAUUCAUCAAUUUCAUGUGUGUUUUAACAAGAACUAAGAGUGAUUUGAAACACAGUCACUAUCAUCACAUAACAGUUCAGGGAGGACUUAUCUCCUUUUUUUUUUUUUUUUUUCCAGGGGAAACAAAAUUAUCAGCAAGCAUUUUAAUAUCCUGUUUUCCAAAGCAAUAGCUUGAUACAUUUCUGAGUCAACUGGAAACAUUCUUGCCAAGUUUACUGAGUAAAAAUUUAACAUGUAACAAUGAACUUAUUAUAUUACUGGUUUUCUUACUGUCCACAAAAAUAUGUACACAACUGAGGGCAAAGAGAAUACUAAAUUUAAGAGAUCACUUUAGGCUUGAGAGGUGUUUGUUUUAACUGAGCAGAAGACCACAAGAAACAAAUCUAUUUUGCUGAAACUUUUGUACACUAUUUUCCUCCUCUGUCACAUGAAUUUUCAGGGCAAAAGAGUUCUUCAUCCUCUUCUCCUAAACAAUGUGAAAUGACCCAUUUAUCACAGGUGGGAAGGCUCUUCAGUGGCACAAAAACCUGUCUUUUAUGCGACUUUGACAUAACAGGAUCAAGCAAGAGGCAGUAGUCCAUCAGCCCUCUGAUACAAAGCUGACAAGUCAUUUGAAUGUGCAGAUGAAGCUGGAGAGGUAAUGAUAAAACAGAAGAAAAAGGUUCAGGAGAAGUGAUCUGUCAUGCUAGUACGAAUCAGAGUUAUUGCUCUCAAGCACACCACCACUGUGUCCCACCCUGCUGAAGACAUGAAGUUAAAAUCUUGUACAUUUACUUUGUGGAGUAUGUUGUCUCUUAAAAAGACACUCUUCAAGGAAUCUAGCAAAUACCACUUCUACAGUCAGCAGGGAAGGCAGCUCAUUCGGACAUUUCCAGGGUAAAAGUUAAAAACAAAACACAAAAAGGAAAACAACAAGUAAGUGAAGUCGUUCUUAAUUUUUUAAGGAAAAAUUCUGAAUUACCCAAAGGGAAUAAUCCAAGUUUCAAAAAGUCCACUUCCACAGGGAAUUUCAGAUCUAAGUUUGGUCUCCAGUUUUUCUCCCCUUUCACAAUAAUCCCCUUUUUGUCACUGUACAUUCUGAAGAGCAAUUGCCAUGGUUUUGAGAAAGCAAGGUUUAAAUCUCUGUGCCAUGCCAGGGGAAAAAAAAAAGCUUUCUAUGAUUGCACAAGUACUUGCAUUCAGCCAUUUUGAGAAAAGUGAAUUGUAUGAUAUUUUUGUGUGUGUGUGUGUGUGUGUGAUAAAACAUUCCAAAAUAUCUCCUGCCAUGCAGAUGUGAAAACGGGGUGGUAUUAAUGAGAUAAAUUCACAUUUGAGUAGUGCAGUUUAAGGAAGUGGUAGCAAGUUCAGAAUCCAGCUAAAGAUACCAGAGGAGCAAAGGUCACAGGCUUUGAUUACACUCACAAGGAAGCUGGUAUCUAUAACUUGUUUUUUGGACUUUGUGUUUACAGUAGUGUGAGAUAAAGCUUUCUGGAGUUACAUGAAGAUACAAAGGCUUACCCUGGACUAUGUGUGAAAGAUGAACCAAAAGAAGAAGCUAUUCUGACUGUAGGCAUCAUACAUUUUACACAGAAAUUUGUAUCCAGAUUUUUCUAUAUAUUUUCUGAGAUAAAAACCACAUAAACUUGUAAUUUAGAGUAGAUCCAAUGAAGGAAGGGAAAGAUAAUAUUUAUCACUUGCAAUUGGAUGACAAGAAUUUCAGCACAGCUGUUAUAAACUCUGCAAAAGCUGAGGUAUAUCUGGGAUUUCCAUUAUUUUCAGCCAGUGUAAGAAACAUGUGUCUCUUAACACAUAAGUCAUGUGUUCUGACUCCAUCCAGUCUGACUCAGAGCACAACAAUAUUUCCUCAGUGUACCUCCAGCACUUGCACUUUUCAUGUAAUUCCCUUCACAAUAGGAAACUUCUCAACAAAAAUAACUAAGGAGUUGGUACCUAGAGAGUUCAGGGGAAAUGGAAAUGUAUAGUACUCAUAAAGAUUUGGUUGCAAUUUCUUUGCUGAGGCACAAAAACAUAGCUUAAUCUAUAGACCUAUGGGUCUGAUAUCUAGUCGUUUUAGCAUUCCAGGAAAAGAGAGCAUUUCAUUCUUUGGCAAGGAAUUAUCACAAGUGCAAGCAACAUAACAGUACUAAAAAGAACUAAAGAAGAAAAUUAGUGAAAUUUCUUUUGAAUGAAGUUCUGCAGAGCUGUAGAUGCAUAGUCUGUUGUGGGAGGAUUUGUUCUAUCUGUUAAAUAGGAAAAAAAAUGCAAAUAAACCAAUACAAACUUACCUGAUUGCACUGAAAAACAGUUUUAUUCAAAUGCAUGGUAAGCAGCUGUUGAGUCAUCAGGAAGAGAAGGGAAGGAAAUAAAUUAGAAUAAUGAGCAUGAUGCCAGUCACAAUAAGGUAAAUGACUCCUGUCACUAAUGAGAAUUAAAAGUGUUCAGCAGCCAUUAAAUUAUUUCUAUUUUGACAUUUUGUUAGUGAUGUGUGAAUUUUACUUUAGCCAUCCUAUUAAAAAAUGUUAAGUCAAUAAUCAGAGAUACUUUCCAUUUCUUUUUCUGUCUAUUCCUUGAAAGUUUGAAUAAGCUGAAUGAACACAUCACUAAUAAUCACAAAGCUGAGAACAACUUUGAUGUAGGAAAAUGCUGAGAGCAUCUAGUUUCAUUUAGAGAUUUGUAAUAGUUCAUGUUGGUCAACAAUGACUGUGGAACGAAAAUUUUGCUGUGUUCCUGUAUGUAGAUAGACAUAACUAGAUAAAUGGCUAUUUCAGUGUAACUAAACAAUGUAUUGUGGUUGAUUGGCUAAUUGUCACUAAGAUUCCUACCAGCUUGACAUUUGUAAGCCCCACUCAAUUUACCAAUUAAUCUCAUGAGAAUUUCCUGCCAGUACAAGACAAAUCUAAUCCCAAGCAAUCAAACAAAACAGUUUGUGUACACUCUUCCUCCUUCCCCUCCUUAUCCAGAAUAGAAAUUCACCAAUGCCACAGGUAUUUUGGCUAUAAAUGGUCUUGAAGUAUGAAAUGGGUAAUUCAGUUCUUUGUUUAUUUACAUAUAAUACACUCACAAAUACACACAAUUUCUUAGCUAUCCAGAAGAAAUUUGGUUCUAAAGAUUACUAGUUUACUAGAAAUAUGCUAGAUAUAAAUAAGUGAUUUUUUGGUAUAAUAUUGGACAAACCAUCUCUCCUUUCUGCUUCUCAACAUUUUAGAAGAGUGAUUGCCUAAAGAAGAUUUGAGAAAAGGGUGUUAUUUAUCUUGGGAAAUUGCAUUUUUUAUCCGUUUUGAAGGUUGUGAAUGCAGUUUCAGAUGAUACUAAUUAGAUGUAGCCUUGUUUCCUGUGAUCCUAAUUUUGAGAGGCUGAACUUGACCCUUCCCUGUUUUGAUCGGUAAAACAGAAAUAGUGAGCUUGGUGAGCUGAAUUAGAUUUCUGAGGGGCAGCCACAGAGCUGGUAUGAGGGAGUAGAGGACAGAGCUGGGUAUCUGGGCCUGAGGGAGGCGGUGGAAGGAAUGACAUCACUUCUUCCCCUGUCAGUGGGUUACUGGACUGACUUCAUUUUUAUCACAUGGUCUUGAGUCUCUGCUGUGCACAGAGUAGUAAGAAAGAUUGCACUAAUUUCAGGAAUUCCAUCAACACUGUGACUGAACCUACAAUAGUAAAAAUAUUCUCUUCUUGGCUUUCUUCUGACUAAUUCUAGGUCCACGACAGAGCAGGAAUUGAACAGACUUUCCAAAGCUGGUGCCCUAGUGAGUCACUCAUAAGUUAUACACUUUUUUUCAGAGUAUGCUUAGGUGCAUCAAACCCUAACUUAUUCCUAGAAAAAAGUAUUUGUUCUUGGUUUGCUGUUGUGUACAUCUAAACUGAAAAUAUUUUAUAAUAUCUUAGAGUCAAUAAAAAUACUGAUUAAGGGCUAUACAUCCAAAGUACAUAUUUUGCUUUGCAGUGACAAGAGCUAACGACAUUUAAUUCCUAACCAGGGUUUCCUAUAUCUUUAUGUACUGUUCACGUGUACUACGCACUGUCAUGGGUACAAUGCAUUAUACAAUAACGUGUAGUUUCUGUGUACUGGAAAUUUUAUCUACAUAGACAUGUAUAUGUGUGUGUACACAUCCAUAUUCACACAGUAAUGGAAACAAUGGACUAGAAGGAAGUUACUUAGUCAUUGAGAGAAAUCCCACUCUACUGUAGGCAAUCAUGUUAUGUUCCAUAAAAGGAGUUCUCCUUUUGAAGGCGUUUACCCCUAUUGCUUUCACUGGAAGUCUAUCUGAAAUCUUGGAUACUCUCUAGAUUAGAACACUUUCUUCUGUGAGAAGAAAGCUAAAAACACUAAUGACUCAUUUUAUUCUCUAAUUUUUUUUUCCUCUCCCCCGCAUUCUUUCUUAGCUUAAAGAGUUCUUUUUUGUUCUUGGUAUUUAUCCCUCAUCAGGAUUAUAAGGAUAUGCUCAGUUUCCAGAGAUCUGUCAUAUAUCCUUGCGGUUUCUAUCAUCAGACUAAAAAAAUAAAGCUCUUCGAGCCUUCUCAUGUGAAAGACAAAUUUCAUAUUUUUGUAAUUCAAGUAGUCCUCCUCUGGAUCUGUUUUAGGUUUUUGAACAUGUUGAAUGGGACCUAUUCCUAAUAAAAGUGCAUCUGCUGGUGUUUCCUAGGAUUCCUUUUUCUUGCCUGCAACACAUGGCAUUUUACUACUAUCCUUUUUUCAUCUUUAAGUCCUUGGGCAUUUCUAGCUGACCACCUUCCAGUUUACAGAAUAAUUUUAAGACUUUCUGUGUUAUAUUAUUGAAUGAAUAUAAUUUCUUCCCUUCUCCAGUAUACCAGAUCAUUGAGAAGUUUAUGGAAACUGUUUUACAUAUUUCCAAACAGCUGUGUUUAGAAGAUGUGAGACAGAACUUCCAGCCGCACACUAACGGAGAGUUACAGAUGUUCCUGUGAUAGACCAUAUGUAUUGGUAAUGCUCAUCUGGCAUUAUGCCUUGUGCUUCUAAAGUAGUCAAAGCAUUGACUGGGCAGUAGCUGUUAAAUGUUAACUUAAUCAACUGCAUCUACCUCUUAAAAACAGUUUUUGCUAUGAGGAAUAUAUACGCCUAUGAUUUGAUAAUGGCUCUGGCAUGACAGGAGCCCAGAAACACCCAGGGAAUUUCCACAUUCAGUGUAAAGUGUUUUAUGGAAGCUUCACCCUUAUAUGGAAAUACAUUCAGUUAUGCCUUUUUCUCUUUCACUCUCCCCUUUUAUUUAUGGCUUUAAAGACAAAAAUAAAAAACUCAAACCAAAACAAAACACAGCAACAACAACAAAAGCCCCAAAAAACCCACAAAAAACCCACACAAAGCAAAUGGUUGCAUUGCUGUAAAUCUACAAUUAAUUUCUAAGUAGUUUUUUAGUUUCCUGUCCUCAGAGAGAUUUCCUUAGAGAAAGAUCCUCACUGUUUUUUAGCUGAAGAAUUUCUACCAGACUUGUCUUUGGUUACAACCAGCCCACCAACCCGUCUUCUUGAUCACCUUGUAUUUUUGCAGUCAUUUACACAAUUGCAAGUACAUAAAAGAGGAAAAUAAAUAUAACAGUAACCUCUUGGAUGACAUAUUAGUAAAUACAAUAAUGCCAAACCCCUUGGGGAACAAAAAAAAAGGGGGGAAUGGUUUCUACUAUGCUUUAUAACGCAUUCUGUCCGUAUUCCUUUUUCAACAGAACAUGUCUCUUUCCGCACUGCAGUUAUAGCAUUACUGAAAUAGUAUCCUGUCACAUAAUUUAUUAUCUCUAGUAAACCAUGACAGCCACUAAGCAUGGGCCAAAGUACAAAACAAAAACCUUACUAGAAAAAUAAAUUCGGGUGAAGAGAACAAAUUACUUUUCUUGAAAUCUUGACAUUCUCAAGGUAUUAUUCAUUGCUAAUUAUUGUACUUCCUUGAGGGCACAUAACCUGGUAUUCCCACUCUCACUUAACGAUCAGAGAUGCAGCUGAUAUGGAAGAGGAAAAUGAAAGGAGAACUGACCACCAAUUAGUAGUCAAUAUCUUUUCUUUAGAAAGUGCUUAACAGAAGAAAUAUUCCAAAGUAAACGUGAGUCAGGUAAUGUAAAACUGGCCGUCAAAUUAUGCCAAAGAGCUUGCUUUUGAUAGAGGAAAUACCUACUGCUCACCCUUUCAAUUUUAAAAUUAGCGUCUGCUUGAGUACACAUUUUACACAGCUAAUAAUUAUAUGAGAUAAAAGACAGUGAGAAUCAGGUCUAUUAUCUUCUUUGUCUCAUUAGUGAUUUAAGAGGAAUCCUUGCCAUUGGGUUAAUAAUGUUUUUCAGAUGUUUGAAAUUACAUCAAAGGAAGCAUUUGGAUUUGCUGACAUUUCAGGAUUUUGGAAGACUAUCUAAGUCUUUUUUACCCCAUGUGCUCUCUGAAACAACUGGCAAUCCCAUUUAAUAAUUUUUGACAUGCUGAAAAGUUUGACAAUUCAGAGAAAAUGUCCUUUAAAUAUAAGCACUGAUUCUGACCAUAUUGUCUUUAGCAACAAGAAGGAGGGAAAAGGGGUGUAAGUACACUCUUUGCAGUAUUGGAAACCCAGCUGUAGGGAUAUUAAAUUACUGUGCUGUAUUAUACCACAUUUUAGAUUGCUGCAAUUACACAAAAACCUCAAAAUAUUUAACUACGUCUUUAAGAACAGUGAAAAAUAACUUUAAACACAGCUGUCCAUAGCAGUACUACACAUUUCCUGAAUCCACGUGCUGCAAAGGCUUUUCUUCUCAGCAGAUCCAGCUGUCUUUCCAUAAAGGACACUGCCUUUUGGGGAUAGUAUCAGUAUAAAUUUUGGGAAUAUGGUAAAAAAACACUAGAAGGUGAUUAUAUUUUCUUCCCUUACUAGCUAAUGGCUGAAACUCAUGUAGAGGAAAUGUAAAGGGUCUGCAAUAGGGAAGUCUAAAAUGUCUUUGGAAUAAACCAGUGCUAUACAGAUGAGAAUAUGAUAUUUAAAAAAGUCGUGCUUGGCUUAUUCUCCAUCCUCCCCAGGUGAAAAUUCAGGGGGAUAGGAACCACUUUGAUUAAUCAAAGGGAGGUGGAUGCUGAGCAACACAGGCUGCAAGACUGGUUUAUAUUCUGUUCAACAUCCCCAAAGCAUGAAAGCUAUAGCAAAAAUCCAUAAUAUCUUUAUUGCUAAUUUGCAGUCAGUCGUGCCACUUCAGUUAGUUAGGCUUGUUUACAGUGGGUUGUCCUGGAAACUGUAUCUAGAUACUCACAUGAAAGUGGGCUAGAACUUCUCAGUUGCUUGUUGGAAACGGGUGUUUCCUGUUCUUUCCCUGUGAGAAGUGAUGGUGCCAGUGUUACGUUUAUUCAAUGAUGGCGAGCUUUCUAGCAGUCUGGAAAGCUAAACUUUUGCUUUGCUUUGUUUUGUUUUUUUAAUAAUAGAUAUGACUCUCUCAAUCAUUACUAGUCACAAAUAAUACCUUUAUGUUAUCAUUUUUAUAGAUUGUCACUGAAAUCUUGUGUUGUGGCAGUAAAUUGUCUCCUCUUGUUAUGUACUUGCAAGGUAGCUCUUAACCUCCCAAAUGAAUGCUGACGAAGUAGCCUCUGUGAGAGAGCAAAUUUCACUGAAUUUUUCAAGUGUGGCCUCAGAAAUGCAUAACAUAACCUUAAGAAGACUCAUUCUGAGGAGAAAUCCCUGAUACAAUGAUAGCUUAACUUUUACGAGCGAACUGCCUACAAAAGAAGUUAUCUUAAGUUAUGAAUGGGUGAAAAACAUUAAAUUGAGAAUUGUCACUGUAUAUCAAUUUGAUGUCAAAAGCUUUCAAAAUAUUUAUGCUAACAGAGGAAAAUCUAAUGUGUAAAUAUAAUGUAAUAUGAUGUAUAAAUAACUUGUUUUCGUUUGAUGUUUCAAAGGCAUUCUUCAGAAACUGUUUUUAAUUCCUUAUUAGUUGUAACACUAAUAAACAGAGAUUAAAAGCUUUAAGUUUGGCUCUUGAGCCAGUGAAAAGUUGAAGGACAUGUUCAGGAAAAGCUGAAUAUGCUUUGAGCAGCCCAAUGUUACUCUCAGUUUUUGUAUAAUGUCAGCUGCAAAGGUAUUGCUUCUACCAGUCCAUUAGCUUGCUUUUACCUUGACUUGUAAUUCCUGAGAAAUUGCAUAAUUGAUUUGACAGUAACAGAACAUAGAAACUCCACAAUCAUUUCACAGAAAUCGUUAUUUUCCUUAAUAACUUUUUAAUUGAUCUGCUUAUUCAGUAUUUCUCAUAUAAUCCUCAAAAGCUAUUGUUCACAAAAAGUAAACCAAGAUAGUUAAUUUAAAACAAACCUGUAACCCCUAUGAAAUUCUUGAACAAUCUAAUUAUUUUCAUUAUUUUCAUAUUUAAUAGAGUAAUUGUUUAUUUUUUUAAUUGGACUCUGGCUCUGCAUUUUGGUAACCCUCUCUUAUGCUCUAUGUCACACUUAAAAUCAAGUUUUUAGCUUAGUCCCUUGCUUUAAGGCUAGGACCUACAUGUAUCAGUGCUUUGAUCAGCAAUUGCAGAUUUUUUUUUUUUUUCUAAAAUAGUGUUAUCAUGCAGCUGAAAUACUUAGGAGAAUUACACCUAAAAUGUUAUUCCAACCUAUGUCACAAAAAAUUUCCAUUCAUCAAAAGAAAGUCGUCUUCUCUAGGCACCAGUUAUAUCCUAGAAGUAUUUUAACAGCUCUCUAUCAGUGACAGAAUCCUGCAUCCUCCUAAUUUGUGCCUGUGAGUGUACAUGCUUGAAAAGGGAAGGAUAGAAAAAUCUGUUUUUCAUUUUUCUGAAAGCAAGAAAUAGCAUCAAAUAAAUAUUUACUUGAAAUCGUCAUGCUUUCUUCCUUAAAAGCACUGUUAUUACAGCAUAUGAAUAAUAUGUGGCUUGGCUGUGACAGGGAUACUUUAUUAUUAUUAUUGAGUGAUGGGGACAGCUGCUCUACUAACAUAGACAGUCUUAAAACAUUUUGAAAGGUCUUGUGAAGCUGGGGAAGGAAUUUUAAAAGGGGCCUCUUGUUCCUUGGAAUAGAUUCAAAUUACAUUGUUUUCAUGUCACUUCACACUAGAAGUAAGAAAAAUGUUUUGCUCAAGUAAUCAAAACAAGAGGCCAACUAGUAUUUGUGCACCGAGGACAAUCUGUGGAUUAGUAUGGCUCGUGUGCUGAACACAAAUGGAGAGAGGCACCCUGCUGUGAGAAGGAAAACAUAAACAGAACUCUCUAUCCAAAACAUGUGAUGUGAUCCCCCCAUUCUGCACAGCAAUAGUAAGAAUAGUUAGAAUACUCUGUUCAGUUCUGGCUUUUGCUCUCCAAGAUAGGCAGAGGACUGGCUGAGAAGUACAUAGAGGAGAACAGCAACAGUGAUUUGAAGUCUGGAAACUAUCAUCUGUGAGGAAGGAAUAAGUGAAUUGGAUUUUUUUUGUCUUAAAGAAGACUCGGGGAAUACAGUGUGGAGAAGGAAUGUGGUAAAUCAACAAUUAGCAAAGGAGAUGAGACCAAUGUGUUUUCCUUGUUUAUUGUAAAUGGAAUAAAAAAGAACAACCUUAAAUUGCAAAAAGGACUAGUUAUAUUAGAUAUUCAGAAAAACUUCCAUGAGUAAGAAUAGUGAAGUCCUGGAAUAAAGCCUUGGUGGUCUAUGUAGUUGAAAUAAUUUAUUUAAAAACAAGUUGAACAAGUAUCUGUCCAAAUAUACAUAAUUGAGCCUUCUUAGAGAAGUUCCCAUUACCCCGUGAUUCUAUGUUUACUUACAAUACAAUUUUUAAGUACAGUGAAUAAAUAGGUGAAUUCACAUCAUAUAAAUGGUAUUAGACCACUGAACAUUCAGUUAAGGACUAUUUUAAACAUAGAAUCUAAAACCAAUAAGAAGUUGAAUUUUAAUUUAGACUUCUACUUGAUUUAAUUAAAAAUAUUUUACUUAUUUUGUUUCCAAUAAAGCUGUUAAUUUGAUAUGAAACUGAAUUUUAAUUUGAUGUAAGAAUAAACAACCAUCAAGGUGAAUUUUGUUCAAAUUUUGUUUUGCACAGCUAUAGGAAAAUUAUUCAGACAGAUCUGUUUCUUACGGAAUAGUAACUCUCCACAUGUUCUUUAGUUCACCAGGCAGCUAAGCCAGCUAAUGCCUCUUUUGUGUGUCUGUAUGAAGAGCAGGAUGAGCUUUAUAAAAUUUUAUUGUGAGACAGUGGUCAAAGGAUUUGGGUUAUCACAGUCUUGUUGUAUGUUACAGCAGUGGUCUUUACCUGGGCAGUCUAGCCUGGCUCAUUGUAGCCCUCCUAUUUAUUGUUUAUCCCACUGUAUUCCUGCUUCAUCCUGCUGGUUCUUUUUUCAAGAUGUCAGACAGUGUUUUGCAAUGGUCGGUCCUCUCCACUAGUUGUGGGAAGACCCUCCAUGAGUUUAUAAGGUUAUUCCCUCUUGCCAGCGAAGUGUGCAGGAGACUUAGGUUUCUGGGAAGGAACAUUUGACAGAGAGAGGAAGAAAAGCAGUACCCCAUGGGAUGGAAAGAAAGAAAGGAGGAGGCCUCAUUUCUUUCUUGCACUGAGGGUUACUCAGACUGUAAAAGUUCUGCAAGAGAUAGGUCCUAGCCUGACUGAGAAGGUCAAGGAACGAAUGGUUACCGUGAGAAAGAUGCUUACCUUCAGCCUCCCAAAUUAACUCUGUCCUUUUGUCCUUUGAAAUAAGAUUGUAACUAUUGAUAUUGUGAUCCUUUCAGUGAAUCCUGUGAAGACCGAGUCUGUACCUACCAUCACUAGUAUGCAGCUAAUAUGCAAGAGUUGUAACUCCUUGGAGGGAAAGUAAAUGACAGGGGCAAGGCUUGAAGACAUUUAAUAUCUCUGUUUAGUAUGUAUGCUAUGGAUGCGGCCCUAACUCUAACAAGCAGCAAUAAAGUUAUUUUUUGAGAUUGGAAUGGGCUCAAGUUAUCCUCUCUUAUGCUUUUACAAUUCCAAUUAUUUCACAGGAGACAUCCUGGAGAAACAGAAAAUAUUAUUUGUUUUUUCUGUAAAACAUGCCAAAUAUUCUUAGAACCAUUGUCAUGGAUGCUACAUGAAGAGAUUCAUUUCAUAGCUUUUUGAUAAAUCUGUAAAUAAUACUAAGCUUUGCCUCUUAGACUGUUCUUCUCCACAAGUGAGAUGUGAAUUUCAUUCCUUGAUUUCAGAAGGGAGUUAUUAUAAUUACAUGUUCUUGUUGAAUUAAACACUUUGGUUUGGUUCAGUUCUGCGGCCUUCAGAACUGUGUAGAUGAAGCCAUGGAGUCUGACUGGUUGGGUUCGGUUUCAAAUUAACUGCUCAUUAAUAAUUAGAUUCUAUGGAUUUAUUUGUAUGGACAAAAGAACCGGAAAUGCAUCUACACGUUGUUCUUCUACCCAUUUUUUCUUCUGAUUCAAUUGAUCUCCCAUGAAAAGGACAGCAAGAGUUUGCCUUAUUUCCAUAUACAUCUAUGGAGUGGUGUAGUACUCUAGUUAAAUGGUAGGAGUUCUCAUACAUAUCAAGUAGAAACAGACUAUGGAAGAGCUGAUCAAGAAGGAAAUCUCCAAGCUACAGUGCAGUAAACCCGAAGAGUAGUUCUUCAGCAGGUAAAAUCUAGGUAAAAUCAGCACAGAAAUUCCAGGGAGACAGUUCAUGUGUUUGGACUUAAAGCAACACUGAAGAUUGCUCUCUUCUCUGGUAUGUCUCUUUGGAGAAGAUAUCCGGAUUCUGAAGUACACUUCCUUCCACAAAAGAUUUAAUAAAGAUUUAUUUAAAUGAAUAUUAAUCUACAGGGAUCCAUGAAAAGGCAAGAGCUGUUGUCCUCUGCUGGAUUUAACGCUGAUAGAGAAAAUUUCAAUACAGAAUUUCAAGCGGAAAUGGAACAAAAGUCGUGAACCAUUGCAAAAAGUUACAGACCCUCUCUAAAAAAGGAUAAAUGAAAAUAAAUUAAGUGAACUAUUUCUAGAUCUCAAAUCUGUUGUCUAAAGCUAGAGGAUUUUAAGUGUUUCCUUAUUCUGACUUCUAUGCUAUUUAAUGUUUGGAUAUGAAGAGCACAAACAAAAAUACAUCAUCUGUUUCCACAGGCCUGUAUCCUGAGAACUUUUUAAAAAGAGAUUGGAGGAUAAAAGAAGCUUCAGAGCUGUACAAUGAAAGGAAUUUUGUGUGUGUGAUUAUUUUCUAACAAUCUCAAAUAAUAAUUUCCUUUUUUUUUUCCUUUUUUUACUAUUUAAAAUAUUAUAUUGUAAUUGAAACUAUUUGAAUUACAUGCGUGAGUUGAAAAAUUAUUUAAAAACCUCUCCCAGCUGCUGCUGAGGUCAGUAGAAAUAUUUCCACUUCAGGUAGUGCAAAGACUGGAUUGCAGCAGAAUUAAGAAAGGCAAGAUGGCAAGCAUAUUUUACAGAUGUUCAAGUUUGGUUCAGAUGUUCAAGUUCAGUUUAGAUUCUGCUGCACUUUAUUUUUAUGAACAGAAUAUUUUUUAAAUAGCUGAUUAACUUGCAGGCACACAACAACUGAACACUGGAAAAGACUCAUAAUUUGCUUAACUCCCUGAGUUCAGAACAUGUGUUUAAGGUCUGAAGCAGACUGAAAUUUUUCAGAAGGAUUACAUCAAAGGUGGUGAUCCAGUUUCCUUUGGAAAAGUAAUAAUUAAAGUUUCAGCUGCAAUGAGAUAUAUAACCACUGCCUUUUAUAAGCAGGUAGGCCAGCCUGAUCCGAUCUCUGUAGAUAUUUUUUCAUUGACUUCAGACCCACAGAAUAGGGCUAUUGGGAACUACCCAAGCAGGCUUGACAGCAAAGUCUUGUUCAAACCAGACUUACAGAAACUCCAGCCACUAAAACUGUAUCAAGGAUAUUAAGUGCAGAAAAUUGCAACAUCAGAAUGAAUUCACUAAUCUUAAACUUUUGAUGAGACAAUUUUGAAUACUGAUUAUAUCUUUUUCAUGGGAGACUUAUAUAGGUUAAGAUGGAUAGGGAUGCAUAGUUUGUAAAAUUUGUAAGUUUUUAAUAUCCUCCAUAGUUUUCUCACUCAGAGGUGACAUUAGGUGUUUUUUUUCCCCAGGAUGGCAGUUCAGAGUGAUCAGGUAACCAUAUUAGAUACUGUGAUACUGGCAUGGUUCAAACACGUCACUGAUACUGAUAGGUAAGAAUAAGACAAAUAAAAGCCGUGUUCUUUUGUUAAAGAUGUUCAUCUCUAAAACUUGUGAUAGGCUUCACACAGUAGUUAAAUGUUAGCCUUUCAUCCUCUGGUGGGUUAAAUAGUGGGCAAAAGGUCAGUCUACUUUGUCAUGCUACUUUUCUGUACUUUUUAACAGAGGCCAGAAGCAAGCCUGAAAACAUCUUCACCCAGCAUUGCUUGCUUUAAAACAAACAAACAAACAAAUAAAAAUAUGUUGUGGGUUUGUUUUUUUUUUUUAAGUAAAAUGGCAAACCAUGGAUUUUUGGACACACUUUACAUAUACUUCUGUAAAAAUGUUAUGUGGGUGGACAUUUCUAUUGAAAAUGUAUCCUUCUGCAUUUUAGACCACUCACAGGCACCCGAAGUACCACAUAAAUGCUCUGUUGGGAAUAUAAACAAACCAUUUUUGUCACUUCAGUAAGGCUGAUGUCUCACAGUACACAGCCCACAGUUUGUCUUUACUGAUGCUAAAAGCUCUGCUUGCUCUGGGACAUCUGUGUAGGCAUGUGCAAGACACCAACAGAGCUAAGAAAGUUGCAAAUAAAGUUUUAGAGGACAACUUCUCAGAAUCAUUUUCCACUGGAUGAAUAGCUAUGUUAUCACUUGCUUUCACGAGAAUUAGAUCAUGCUGUGCUAAGAGAGCCUUGCCUAAAAAUCAAUGACAGAAUAACUUCUUAUCCUGUUUUGUUCAAGAUGAGUAUGUAAACAUAACCUGUGAAUUUUUACACUCAAUUUUUGUGACCACAAAUAGAUCUGCUCUAUCUGGAGCUGCAAAAUUAUGAUGAAUAUGCAAUUUGUGUCUAAUGUAUGUAGAGCCUGGCAGGGUUAAAGAAGCACACAGCAAGUCAGACUUGUGUGCUUGCUAGGGCUUAAAUUUGACUCUGAAUUAGAAAACCUUUAGACAUGGAACAAAUAAGGGGAAACACACUUUCUGCCACGUUGGAAAAAAUAUUUUUGCUUUGGACAGUUUUGCACAUUACAAAAGAAGCACACAUGAUAUGUUGCUCUGGUUGCUACAAGUCAAAUAUUAUGCUUUAAUUUUAAAAAUGUUAUGUAACCUUGUAAAGUUCACGGAUCAGUAACCACUAUCUGUCUGUUCCUUGGAACUACUCUGUAGCCAUCUCUUAAAUAAUAGAGAAUGUGAUAUGGUUGGAUGAGAGCUAGUACAGGUUCAGUAGAGAAUGUGAGCUUGGACAGGAAAAAGACAGUAUAUAGGAUUUUCUAUAUGUUUACAGAGAUUAUCCAUAAGUCCCUUUGGGCAUCCCAAAGGAACUCUAUCUCUCAGGUAAAACCAGAGAAGGAAUAAAUGCAUUUUGUAAAUUCUGCUAGGACUUAGACAUACGUUUGAGACUUGAAAAUGUGUAGUGAAGAAUGUGCUUAUAGAAGAUUUUAGGCAACUUGAACGUGCUAAUACUGAAAACCGAGCUUGAACUUUUUCCAGGAUUAGGUAGUAAAGGAACGAAAGAGAUGAGGAAGGGAUGUAAGUGCCUGUAUUUUCUUCUUAGUCUUAUCCUUAGUGAUUGCCUGGAGUCUCAGGAAAGAAGAUAGUUUUUCAUGUUAAGCUGGGUUCAUAAUUUCCUCACAGAGGGAACCAGAGUGAAAGCACAAGCCAUGAGUAUUGUAGGUAAAAAUGAAGUAAUAGAAGUUUGAAAGACAAUGUAACUGUUCCACAAGUGGGGCAGCUGUGUGAAAUGUUGAUACUAAUUGGAGGAGAGAAAUAAUUAGAAGGGGAGCAGGGAUGACAAACCUGUAGAAUACAUUUAGCUCUAUGUCAGACAGUGGUAUUGGAAUAUAUUGUCUCUCAAAUGAAAGCAGCAUUCAUUAAGGAAUAAAAGAAUCAAUGCAAUCAUGAAAUCAACUCAGGUCAAUAUUCAAGGAGCUCUCCGAAGGGGACCUUCUGAUACCAUCAAGACUUCACCUAAACACUGAACUACUGCUACAACCAGUAGCCCAGGUGGGCCUUGAACCAAUGUUAUCUUGUACUGUGACUUUUGGGCAAAGUGCUCCAAGAAUGUCCUAGUCUCCUAGAUGGAUCAGAUUUGCUGUGAGAUAUAAAGAUACUGGGAAGAAAAGACAGAUAAAGGGAGAGAGAGGAAAGACUAUUACCUUUUCCCUGUUGCUUCACCUAGAAGCUACUUUGGAACUGCUUCAAAACUCUCCAUGAAGUUACUUGGUCUCAUAUAUUUGCAAUAGCAAAAGUCAUGGGGUUUCUUUGGUACUUAGAAACCUUAAGUAAAUCUGAAGCUACUGAAAAAGGGAUAGGACACUUUUGAAAGUGCUUUUAGAUGUAUUUUCUCAAAACAGUGUGUUGGUAUAAAAUGGUUUCUGUAUUACCUCUGACCAUAUUUGUAUAAAAGUGAAAGGUUUCCUGCUGAACUGAGAUAUGCUCUUCUUGUUUUAUUUUUACUGAGCUUCUUUUAUUGGCAAUGUAUUUAAAUAUAAAGCAGUUGGUUGUUAUGUUGAAGUAAUUCAGAUGAGUCAUAAUUCCAGAGAGCCUGCAAAGCCUGGAGAAAAAAGAGUACAAACACAAUACUCAUUGAUUUUUAUGUUGGAAAUGCUGUUAUGAACCUUAAAUAUAUAAUUAUCUAGAUUAUGCCAGACAAUUCAUUAACUAGUAUUAAAUUCAAAACUAAUAGUCUUCAUCGUGGUUCCGUUAACUAGCAUCUAAAUCAUGAAAGAGAACAUAUGUUGUACUCCCUUGAGAAAUUAAGAACAGUAAAUGGAUGCCAGUGAUAUACUUAAGUAUUUAUUCUAUACUGUAACUAUUCAGAAGUAUCCAACUAUAAUAAAGUCUUUGGUAUUAUUUCAGUUCAAAGUUCAGGGUGCUCUUACCUCUGUUCCCAUAUUUGUUCAGUGAAUGUGUAAAGGGGUGAAGUCAGUUUGGAAAGUGAGAGGGUAAUGGCACAAGCUAUCCCAUGGCAGACUGAGUUACAGAUUUACAUUGUUUACAUUGCUGAAGGGUAUGUGCUCACCUCAUCUUUUAUAUGAGAUAAGAAAAUAUGAAGUUAUACAUUCCUCAGUGAAAUCUGUAUAUGCUUCCUUCUUUGCAUUUAUUACCUCAUAACAGCAUACAUGUUGUAAGUGGAAUAGCUGUUGUGCAUAGCUAAUAAUGAAUGUAUUUGUACCUGUAACUGGGCCCUGAACACAUCCUUAACAUGAGGAGUCUGCUCUAAAGACCUUCCAACUUUAGUGGAUUUGGGAGAAGAGUGUAAAGUAUUGUUUUCCUCUUUAAUUUUUUUAAAAACUCCUUUAAAAAUUGUUUAGCCAUUAAUUUUCUGUUAGGCAAAAUCAAAUCUCUAGCAGUAAGUAUUUGACAACCAACAGAUACUUAAAAAAAAAUAAAGUACAUUACUGGUUUUUAUUUUAAAAUGCCAUUUUUAUUUUAAAGUAUUCAGGUACACCAACCUUUACAUUUUCAUAUGUGUGUGUAUAUGUAUAUAUACAUAUACAUAUAUAUGUAUAUGGAAAGAGAGAGAGAAAUUCUUGGGGUUUAUUCUUAAUAAAUUAACAUCUCAGCUAUUUUUAUUUCUAAGACAGCAUCACCACAAAACAUUUGUAUCACUUUCAAAACACAGUGUGAUUUGUAGCACGAAUAGUGCCGCUUUAUAAAUUUCAUCCUAAAUAAUGAAUGUCAGUGCAUGGUGUUUCUACAUGAAUGCAUUUUGCUAAAGCUUAUGUCCUUGAACAAAAUGCAAACACCCCUGACAUCCCUCAAUUCGUAUGAGAGUGAGCCACCUUGUGGUGUAAUUUGUAAUUCCUGAGAAAUAACUGCAAUCGUACAAUGAAACAAGAAGUGGAUGGGGAGAGAAACCUGUUUCACAUAAAAUGUGAUCAAGUAUAACUGAAAUUUGUAAGCAUUUCCAAUAUCCUCUUAUUUAAAUACCUUUAUCCAAAUUCUAGUACUGUGUGGGCUUAUUCUGAUCUAAUAUACCUACAUUAGGUUUACUUUUAUAAUGCAAUGGCAAACAAGCUGCAGUAUCAGGUACUUUUAAAAACAACUGUUUGAAUGUCUUCUGUACCUACUGAACACGCCUGAUGAGAAUAACCAAACUUCUCCCAAGGAACACACCGGUUUUCAAGGCAGGUCAGGUGUGUUAUUUGGCUUGUUAAGAGAGAAAUCAAAACAUGGCAAAAGUGGAUUUCAGGCUGAGCUCAUUACCUCAGUAGAGGUUUUAAAUACAGAUUACUUAAAUAGUGACUAACCUUACAAGAAAAGUUUUUCAGUAUUGUGAGGGAAGGUGCAAAGUCCUGCACCUGGGGAGUAACAAGCCCAUGCACCAGUAUAUGCUGGGAGACAACCACCUGCAGGUGUGCAGAAAAAGACCUGAGGGUCCUGUGGGCGCCAGGUUGAACAUGAGGUAGGAAUGUGCCCUUGUGGCAAAAAAAAGACUAAUGAUAUCCUGGGCUGCAUGGGCCAGUGACAGGACAAGAGGCAAUAGACACAAUAAACACAGGAUCUUCCAUCUGAGUAUCAGGAAAGACGUUUUACUCUGAGGGUGCCUGAACGCUGGCACAGGUUGCCCAGAGAAGCUGUGGAGGCUCGACCCUUGGAGAUAUUAAUCCUUGGAGAUAUUAAAAAAAGCAUGGUCCUGGGCAAUUGGCUGUUGUUGGCUCUGCCUGAUCAAAGCAUUUGGACAAGGCACCUCCAGAGGUGCCUUCCAAACUCAACCAUUCUGUUAUCUUGUGAGCCUGCGAUGUAAAAGUUGAAAUAUCUAAUUUUUGUCAAUCACAAAAUAUUAUACAUAGAUGCUUAUUAAAGGUUUGGAAGCAUGUAAUUCAAAUUUUGAAAAAGUUUAAUUUAUUUUAAAAAAGAAUUUUCCCGCUUAAUUCUACUUUUGUGACUUUGGUGGAUUGUCAUCCAGGUUUUAAAAUUCACAUACUUGUGUCUUAUUCAGAAAAAAAUGUUUUCAGAUCCUGCUGGUGUAUAGAGGGUAGGGUACUAGAAAUAAAAUCAAUUGCAUGGACCACAUGGAAUUAAAUCUUUAUUUCAUUUUAAAUAUAGUUAGGUAGCUAUAUAUGCAAACAAGAAAAAUAAGGUAUUUUAUAUCUGUUUUUUUUCCAGGAUUAUGUGUUUAAAGGGCCGCACAGUUUAUUCAAUACAAUCACAUAUCGAUCUCUUUAAGAUCUGUUACUUCUUUUUUUUUUUUUAUGACAUUUGGAUCACAUUAUCUGGCUGUUACUUUCUUGUUUAAUUGCUUGUCUUACACCUGCUGCAGUAUAUUUGCAGUUUUCAUGUUUUGGGAACUGUGCAUCUCAGCAGGAAUGCAUUUGUGACUGCAGCACUUUCACAACGUUGUUGGCUGUGAACAGAUCUGGACAAGGCCAGAAGUAUCAGUUGUGCUUUGGUUUUGGGAAGACAAGGUGGUAUCAGCCUGCUGGAGCAACAGCUGUCACGAAACAGCAGGGGUCUGAUCACACACUUCUGUGGGCUCUAGGAGGGCAUGCUCAGGCAUGCUGCUCAAACUCCACUGCUGCUCCUGUUGUAUUAAUAUUUGGCAGUUCUUUUGAGGAAUUUCCAUUUCCUAAGCUGCAGGCCCUACAUUGUUGAACUGAAUUAUUAGCAGCAGAUAAUGGAAACACUUCAAUUGCGAGUAUGGCAAAGUUCUUGUAUUUGUAUCCCACGUCUUUGAAAAGCAUGUGGAGAAGAGUGAACUGACGUUACUUUUUGUCAUAUGGGGGCAGGGACCACAAAGCAUCAGUGCUGAGGCUGCUAAAGAUUUGUAGCCUAAAUGGCAUCACGCUGACAUACGGCUGCUACUGAGAUGACCAUUCUUUAUGCUCUUUAUAAGCAUAUUAAUACUGCUGUAAUCAGAUUAACAGAACUCAGACUGUUCUUAAAGGAUGUCUUAUUUGCUAACUCCAGUUUUCUUAAGAUAUUUUUUCUAUCAAGGAAUACUUAGGAGGGUCCACAGAUUCUAUAAAGUUUACAUAAAGCUAUUUUGCCGCAAGUGAAAUUCUUUGCCUUUUUUGAUAAUAAUAUAAUGUUCCCUGCAUUUUCAGAAUGCGCUUUUUUCAGAACUGGAGCCCGUUCUCUGCCUGUCCUCUGAAGACCUCUUUCUACCCACUCACUCUAAAGGCAGCCUUGGGACACCAAACUCCUAAUUAAGUACUUGCAAUCCUCCAUCAUGCUCCCUGGAAACACCUUUUUGCAUGUGUCAUUCAUUCAGUUAAAAUAUUUUGAAGCUUAAUCUGAAUAGUAAAACAAUUGAAGGCUCUCUAUUCCUUCUCUCUCAAGUUUUCACUUCUGAAAUAUGUGAGAGUGAUGCA